rnacentral:lncRNA from 1 species
GCAAGACUGAGAGACCUUAGAGAAGAGGAUAGAUUCAUGAAGACAUGAGCAUUAACAGAAGCCAUCUCCAUUCCAUCCAAAAACAGAUGUCUGACCUCGGUUAGGUUUUGAACAAGUCCCUCCAGAGCAUGUUUGUCUCCUACAAACCCUGUACUGGAAAGGUCGAGGUAGAGUAGGCUUGUAAACCGACCUAACUCGGAUGGAAUUUCGGAAAGAUUAAACUCAUUGUAGGCAAGGUUGAGUUUUUGAAGGUGAGGAAGAAGGAAGAGAGUGGAAUUGGAAGGGAAGUUGCCAUAUAGCCAACUGCAGCUCAAGUCAAGGGCAAUAACAUGAGCAUUUAGGUGGUCACAAGUGACCCCAUCCCAUGAGCAGCAAUCUGUACCCUCCUUCCAUGAAUUUGUCUUGGGAUAAGAUUUAUGGCCAGCAAUCUCAUUGCAAUAAGAAGAAGCGUCCUCUGUUAUGGAAAAAGAGUCCUUAAACUGGAUUAGUGAAGAGCAGGAGUGAGAUCCAGAAGAAGAAAAAGAAGCAUAAAGAUGGGGAAAGAAGAGGAAUAGGCAGAGGAAGAGAUAGGGGGCCAUGUUAUGUCUGUAGAGGAAGAUGAAGGAUAGGAAUGGUAUUUAUAGGCAACAAAUAAUACCGCAGUGUUACAGUCUUUUUUUCUUUUACAUUGAGAAGCUAUGGAGAUUAGAUUUUCAAAAUUUUUGUAUUUUUAACAAUCAUCAACAGUCACUUAGUCUUCUUUUUACCAUAUAUUUUUCAUUCUUAAAAUUGGAUGCUAUCUUUUCGCAAAAUCUUGUGGAAAUUCUUUAGCCUUCUUCUCUAUAACACUUAAAGAAUGUGUGUAUGUAUUCAUUUGCCUGUCAACUAAAGCUAAUUAAUGUGGAAAUUCUUUUCCACCCAAAAGAACAAAAUUGUGCUCUAUUCAUUAAGUUUGAGGAAGAAGAUUGCUGGAAAUUUAAUCUACCGAUUCCAUAAAAAACGUGUAUACUUAUAUAACCUCAUAAUUCAAAUCUAAAAUCUCAUUUGUUAUAAAUUCUGAUAAAUUUCUUUGGAAUUGCUAUUUUUCAUUUGUUAAUUAUUUCUCUUUUAAUCGAGUAAAAAAUUAAAACUAAAAAGACAUAAUGAUUUAUUUGGCAUUUUUAAACUUUACAAAUAAAAAAUCAUUUUAGCUUUUCAUUUUUUUAUCUCUAUUAAAUCACCCAAAAAAAAUAAUGAAAAAGACUAACAAAACUAGCACCUACGUGGCUGAUGUUGACCCUUAGUAGUUAAUGACAACAUCUACGUAGUUGUUAACAGAUACCACACUAACACUGUUUGUUGACGUGACAAUGCCACAUGAUCAAUAAUCACCGACAUGGUAGCGCCACGCUAUCGCCCAUUGGUGACAUAUUGAUGUUUGAGUUAAACUCAAAUUACUAUUUCCUUUGUUAUAAAUUAAGAGUAUAACUAAUUUUGAUAAGAAUGAUUACUUUUCAUUAACUCAGUCUAAAGGACUAUAACACGUAAAGUUUGGCCUAUUGCAGAAUUCACAUGCAAUGCGGGGCAUUUACAUUAUGCAGAAUUCGGCACAUAUAUGGGAAUUUUUGUAUUUCCACAAUCAUCAUGUUGUUCGUGAUCAACAACUACUUCCUUUUUACCAUAUAUUUUUCAUUCAUAAAAUUGAUUACUUUUUUUUUUACGAAAGAAGUAAAAUUAUUAACAUUCAUGAUAUUACAAAGCCUUCUUCCUUAUAACACGUCAAGUUUGGCCCCAAAUAAUUUUCCAGACAAAAGAAUUAAGAGGAAGGAGACUGCUACAGAUUGACUAUACUUUUAACUCCACAAACAAAGACUAAGACUAUCAAUUGUCUAUUGACUACACUUUAACUCGACAAAAACAGAUUGACUAUACUUUUAACUCCACAAACAAAGACUAAGACUAUCAAUUGUCUAUUGACUUCACUUUAACUCGACAAAAACAGACUAAUAAGACUUUGGUUGGCUGUAAUGGGCUAUUGACUAUACUUUAACUCCGCAAAAAAAGACUAAGGCUAUCAAUUGUCUAUUGACUUCACACUUGCUGUUGCUUCCUCCUAUCUCUAUCACUUGCUUCCUCCUAUCUCUAUCACCCAAACUUAAUUUACAAGCAAUGUGGAAAUUUUGGACAUUUGGGCCACAAUGUACAAUACUUCCACACCAUUUGCAGUAUUGACUACGUUUACUUGAGGGCAAACAAAGACAUGAAUGCUGGAAAUUUUAACUAGUUUGUACCGUCAAUGAAGCUACGUACCUAAAAGCAAUGUAUUAUCACCGUCUCCAGAAAUUUUGCUAAUUCAAUUUCCCAAGAAAUAUGAUUAAUUUUGGUUAAAUUGGAGUGAACAUUACUAUUUCUGUUUUAGCAAUUAAAGCAACCUAUAUGUACCCUUUUACAGUCUGCAUUGUUCCAUGUUUCCAUUCAUUACAUCAUUCCUUCAACUCUGCUAUAUAUUAUCACCGUCUCCAGAGAACCAAACCUUUUACUGCUAACUUGUAAAAAAAUUAUGAAAAUACAACAGAGAUUAUUGAGACAUUGUUGAAGUUGGCUUGCAUGCAGUAGACAUUGUUAAUCUUAUUAUUAUUAUUAUUAUUAUUAACUCAUGAACCCAUGGUUACACUUCCAACAGAGGUGAGAGAGGUUAAGAGUAGCCAUGAGCCAUCUAGUCAUGCUCCUGUUGUUGAGGAUGCCUCUGAAACUGCACAAGCUCUCAGCCCGAAUUCAAAUCUAAAAUCUCAUUUGUUAUAAAUUCUGAUAAAUUUAUUUGGGAAUUGCUAUUUUUCAUUCGUUAAUUAUUUCUCUUUUAAUCGAGUAAAAAAUUAAAACUAAAAAGACAUGAUAAUUUACUUGGCAUUUUUUAACUUUACAAACAAAUAGUCAUUUUAGCUUUCCAUUUUUUUUUUCUCUUUUAGCCUUGAAACUUAUAUGGUUCCUUAAAUCACUCCAAAAAAAAUGAUGAAAAAGACUAACAAAUUCUAGCACCUACGUGGCUGAUGUUGACCCUAGUAGUUAAUGGCAACACCUACGUAGUGGUUAACAGAUACCACACCAACACUGUUUGUUGACGUGACAAUGCCAAAUGGUCAAUAAUCGCUGACAUGGUAGCGCCACGCCAUCGCCCAUUGAUGACAUGUUAACCUUUGAGUUAAACUCAAAUUACUCUUUCCUUUGUUAUAAAUUAAGAGUAUAAAUAAUUCUGAUAAGAAUAGUUACUUUUCAUUAACUCAGUUUAAAGGACUAUAACACGUAAAGUUUGGUCUAUUGCAGAAUUCACAUGCCAUGCGGGACGUUUACAUUAUGCAGAAUUCAACACAUAUAUGGGAAUUUUUGUAUUUCCACAAUCAUCAAAUAAUUUUCAUAAAUUGAUUACUUUCUUUUUACCAUAUAAUUUUCAUUCAUAAAUUGAUUACUUUUUUUUUACAAAAGAAGUAAAAUAAUUAAUAUUCGUGAGAUUACAAAGUCUUCUUCCUUAUACACGUCAAGUUUGGUCUCAAAUAAUUUUCCACACAAAAGAAUACUUUUAACAAUCAAUUGUCUAUUGACUAUACUUUGAACUCCACAAAAAAGACUAAGACCUUCAAUUGUCUAUUGACUACACUUUAACUCGACAAAAAAAGACUAAGACUAUCAAUUGUCUAUUGACUAUCAAUUGGUUCCAUGACAAGUCUAAAUAUAUGAGCCACAAGAGGUUCCCCAAUGAUCUCGAAAUUGAUCCCCGUAAAUUGGAAUUAGAGAGAGACAAAUAUUUCAAGACAUGCAGGUUGUCAAUCAAAUCAAUCAAUUUCGUAAAGGAGGACAUCCAUGACAGAUCCAAAUGUUCAAAAUUACUGCUCUGAUUGAACUUCAGAAGAUCAAGACUAAGGAUUCGGUUGUAUCCUAAGUUGAGCAAAUUGAGGUUUGGCGAAUGAAGAAUGUUUCUUGAGAACUUUCCUUGCAAAUCACAACCACCAAGACUGAGAGACUUUAUAGAAGAGGAUAGAUUCAUGAAAACAUUAGGAUUAAUAGAAGGCAUGAUAAUUCUAACAAGAAAAAGAUGUGUCACCUCAGUUAGGUUGUGAACAAGUCCCUCCAAAGAAUUUUAUCAAGAGUUAAUUGGUGAGAAAAAACAUUAUGAGAGAGAUCAAGUGAAACCAAAUUUGACGAGUGGGAGAUUUGGGAUGGGACUUUUCCUGUAAAUAACGUUUUUUAGAUGUUAAGAUACACCAGCCUUGUAAACCGACCGAACUAGGAUGGAAUUUUGGAAAGAUUAAAAUCAUUGUAGGCAAGGUUGAGUUUUUGAAGGUGAGGAAGGAGGAAGAGAGUGGUAUUGGAAGGGAAGUUGCCAUAUAGCCAACUGCAGCUCAAGUCAAGGGCAAUAACAUGAGCAUUAAGGUGAUGACAAGUGACCCCAUACCAUGAGCAGCAAUCUGUACCCUCCUUCCAUGAAUUUGUCUUGGGAUAAGAUUUAAGGCCGUCAAAAUCAUCGCAAUACAAAGCAGCAUGGUCUGUCUGAGUGAUCGAAAAUGAAUUCUUGAACUGGAUUAGAGAAGCAGCUUCGUGGUGAGAGCAGGAGUGAGAUCCUGAAGAAGAAGAAGCAUAAAGAUGGGGAAAGAAGAGGAAUAGGCAGAGAGAGAGAUAGGGGCCAUGUUAUGUUUGUAGAGGAAGAUGAAGGAUAGGAAUGGUAUUUAUAGGCAACAAAUAGAAUCCAAUAUUAAACAAAAGCUUUGAUGAUUAAUACCACAACACCACUGUUACAGUGUUGUUUCUUUUAUGGUAUAAAGAUUGUUAUUGGAAGAGUUUGAAAUGCUGACAUUGAAAACCUAUAUUUUUCAAUACUCAUCAACAACCACUUCCUUUUUACCAUAUCUUUUUCAUUCCCAAAAUUGGAUACAUUGUUUUACCAAAAUUUUGUAUUUCAUUUGAACUCCCUAAACAACUGAGAAAAUUAACAUUGAUGAGAUUACAAAAUAGAUUGACUUAGUCUUCUUCCUUAUAAUACGUAAAAAAAAAUGUGAGUGUCUAUUCACUUAUAAUAUUUCCAUGCUAGAGGUAGUUUUUGGAAAAUCUUUAAUUAAACCUUAAUUUCAUUUUGUUAAAAUUUUUAACUGGAUUAUCGAAUUGGCUUCUGAUUGUAGGUUGAUCAAUGAUGGGCUGAUUUCUUCUUCUUCUUUUUUAAUUUUUUUAGGGUUUAUAAUAUACUGCUUAAUGUUGUUGAUUUAUUUUUCUGAUCAUCGUUUCAUUCGUUUGUUGAAGAUAACUGAAUUUUUAUUGGUUGUAAUUGGACUUGGGUUUUAGCCAAUGACUAUAAUCAAAGGGUUAAUUUAAGGUUCGAAUGAAUUAUUUGAAAAUUUUAUUAUUUUUCUUUUCAAUUAGUUGUUUUACAAGGAUUUAACUUAUAUUAGUCAAAUGAACUGGGUUUAAAAAAUGAACAAGAACGAAGAAAUUGGAUGGUUGACUGGACACUGGAAAGGGGAAAAGCUAAAAGUUGUAAAUGUUUUGAAUAUAGAGUUGUAUUCUUUUCAUGGCUUCAGAAAAAUGUAUGCAAUGUUUGGCCAGCGAUAAUGGACAAGUUUUUUUAAACCUCCAUGCCUAAGUCAUGCUUUCAUAAACAUGGGCAGCUAACACCGAGAAGUCAGUAAGCGAUUUAAAAGUGAAGCUCAUAUGCGUCAUUGCUACUCGCUUUGCAGCUAAACUCCUGAGUGACCGGGGAUGGUUGAUUUGAGGUUUAAUUCUAGCUAGUAGAUUCUUAGGUUUGUUAAGGGUCUUUUUGGAGACAAAUGUCUGAGAUUGCUGGAAAAUGCUUCUUACCAUCAUAUUAAUGUCUAUUCGGGUUGCGUUUUCUUAGAGUUUUGGAUUCUUUGCAUCUUAUCAUAAAAUUGAGUUAGAUAUAACAUGUCAUUGUUAUCUGUUAAUUGUUUCACUUGGGACCAGGAGCAUGGUGGCAACUCAAUACAGCUGUAAAUGCAUAUUUCAGCGAGGGUGAUAGGUAUAUAUUUAUGAAUUAUGCUAAUAUUUUGUUAUGAUAAGUAAUUCUAGGUUUAUAGCUUUAUUGGUUUGUUUGUUUUCUCAUGUUUCCUACAAAAAUAAGGCCAACAUCAACCAUAGUUUCUGUAGAUUAUGCCAUGGAUAUAAAUGAUCCAAAUGAAGUUGUACCAAAUGGGCCAGUCCCUUCCAUUUCUACCAUCAUCUAGAACAAACGAACAAUCGUCUCUUCAUCAUCGAAACUUCCAUAGCAGUUUCUUCGAUGGUGAUUCUGGUUCAACUUAUGAACCAAUUGAUACAUAUCCAACAGAGGUGAGAGGGGUUAAGUAUAGCCAUGAGCCAUCUAGUCAUGCUCCUGUUGUUGAGGAUGCCUCUGAAACUGCACAAGCUCUCGGCCCGAAUUCCCAUGAGACUGUUACAAUUGGUGAAGUAGGUGACGAUUCAAUUGCGCAGCCAAGGUGGCAGAAUGAUAACUGUAACAACCAGCAUGUUACACCCAGCGCUCCUGCCUUUGAUAAUUUGCUAGACUAUGGCGAUGACAUUGAAGAACAAAUGAUUCAAGCUGCCAUUGAGGCCUCUAAGCGGGAUGCUGAGGCAAGUUUUAAAAAAAGGACGCUUCCAAUUUGAUAGUGUUGUGGUGCCCUUCAUUCUUGUAGUUGCUGUAAAUGCUUGUUUUACAGAUUGCCUUUUUCAUGUUUAAAGUGUUAAAGUGUUGCAAAUUGAAGUGUUUUAAGUAAUGCAAAUUGAAUUGUUUAGUUGCUGGAAAUUGAGAUGUUUUAUGGCCGUAAUUGAGUGUAUAAAUGUUGUAAAUUGAAGUGUUUUAUUGCUGGAAAUUGGAUGCAUGGUAUAAUGACAUGAUAGAAUGUCAUUACAAUGUUGUAACUUUUUGAUGUUGUAAAAUCAUAUGGAUUAUGACAUCUAAACUAAUGAAAUCGUGUAACUUUUUAUUAAUAUAUGAAUAUUAUGUUGGGAUGUGAAAUAUAAUUCUCAAGUUAUUUAUUACUUCUAAUAUCUAAUAUUUCAUUGUAGAAUAAUUAAAAUUAUUUGUUUCACUAAUGAUAUUUUAGCACAUUCAAUAUCUAUUGCAGUUUAAAAAUAAUAAUUUAGAUUAUAUAUUAUUUUUAUAGUAUUAUAUAUUAUGAUUUUAGUAAAUUCAUAUAAUAGUAAUUAUAUUAAGAAUUUUAUUAAAUUAUAUUUAAUAAUAAUUAUGUUAAAAUAUGGUUAAAUUAUUUAUUAUCUUUAUUAAAUUAUUUUUAAUAAUAAUCUUUUUAAAAUUUAAUAACAAUAACAAAAAUCAUCUACUUAAAAAAGAUUCUGCUAAGGGUAUUCUAGUCAUUUUAGUUUUUUCCUUAUGCAAUUACAACAUCAUUCCAUUCAACCAAACACAAGAAUACCAUUACAGUUCUAUUCCGUUCCAUUCAACCAAACAAUUGAAUUACUGAUUACAGCUCUAUUCCAUUACAGUGAACCAAAUAUAUCCUUAGUAUGAAUGGCUGUCGAGGCAUGUAGAAAUUUGCACACAAAAGAACAAAAUUGUGCACUACUUAAAACUUCAAAGCAUGUGUGGCCUUAAUUUAAUUUUUCAUCUUUUUUAGCCCUUAAACCUACAUUGUUUAUCAGAUGAAAAAAUUAAUAUCUAUUAACUUUGCUAAUGUGCAAGCAUAUGCAACUUCUUUUAAAUCUAAAAAAUAUAAAAAUAAUUAAAUAUGUAUAAAUCUAAAGAUAUCUUAAACUUAAAACUAAAAUUUUUUAAACUAAUGCAAAUUUUUAUUAUUUAAAAAAUCUUAAAAUUUUCAAAUUAAAUUCCAUUUGUUUUCCACCGUUGAAGAACACCUUUAAUCACAACUUCAUGCUGUAUUGCCUAGAAAUUGUUUUGCAAAUUUAUUUUGUUUUAUUUAUUUCUAAACCCAUAUUUCUUUUCUAUAACUCCAAUUAUUAGAUUGUUUAGGGUUUUGAGUAACUUUCGAUUUUGGAAUUUUAGAUUUUUUAAAUUUAAAUAUGAAGUGCUCUUCUUCUUCUCCAAACCCACAAAUUUUUCUGCCAAAUUUCUACUCAAGGUUUUACUUUCAGCUAUAAAUAAAGCGUAUAUUAUAUUUAUAAUGAUCUAAGAAUAGUAGAGUCGAUGCCGAUCUACAUGAAAAAGGAUGAAAAAAAAAGGCAAAGAAUGAUAAUAUGAAGAGAGCAUAAAUCAAUAAAGCAAAUGAAAAACGAGCAGGAUUAAAGUAAAUGGGUAUUUAAUAUUUUUUUGUGAAAGUUCAAAGACUGAUUAUUUAUAAAAUUGGAUGUGGAAAAAUUAGUUGGAAUUUUUUUUCUUACACCAAUUGAUUUUUUAUAUAAAAUUUUUAUUUAUUUUUAAGUGUUGAAACCACUUUUUGAAAACAAAAAAAAAGUGUUACUUUUAUUUUGAAAACGGAAACGAAAAAAUGGGAGUCGCCACCGAUAUUUUUUUUGAGGUGUGAUCGGAUCACCUUAAAACAAUUUUGGUCUACGAAUAAAAAAAUGGGUCCGGGAGUCAAUUACGUAGGAGGAAGGAUUAGCACCCUCAUAACGCCCAAAAUUGAUACCGAAUUGCAUAAUUAAUGUCUUAAAGUCGAAUGUCGAAAAUUCAAAAAGAUUAAAAAUGAUCCCCUUUAAUUAAUGACAUAUUUUUAAACAAUAUUUGUAUAAAUUUGAUCAUAUGUAGAAAGGUCUUCUCAUCCUGAGUCAACAAAAUGUCGUAUCCCAUAAGUUAGGAUGCGACAUUUAGAUUUCCGAGCAUAAUCUAGCCUUUAAAACCCUUUAUUGAAACUUUAUGUAUUUGAAAACUAAAAAUGUUUGACCAUCUUGGUUCAAUGAGGAAAUCGAAAACCCGUAAGUUAGGACAAAUUUCCUCAAAGUUCCAAAGACGAUAUAUACGUUUGCCUUUAUUUAAAAAAAAAAGAUACUCGGUUACUUAAAUUCAACGAGGAAAAUUGGAGCCUAAUAAGUUAGGGCACAAUCUUCUCGAAAAUAUUGGAUACCGGGUAUUACGUUAUUUUGAAAACUUUGAAUAAAAUGAUUUCAAUACUUUGACUAAACGCAACAUUUUAAAUGAAUAAAAUGCGAUGGAACAAUAACGUAUAACGCGAAGUGAUAAUUCGUAAACUAAAAUAUACGCUAAUGAUCGACAAAGAAUCAAUGAAUACGAGUAAGCAAUACAAUACAUCAUAUAAGAGCAACAAUCUCAUAUCCCACAUUAUGCAAAUACUAACAUCCAUUUUAGCAAGCUAAAUGAAUUAAAAGUUAAUUAAAGAACAGCAAGCAAAUUAAUGUAAAUCUAAUAUAACAAGCUUUAAAAUAAAAUAAAAAUAAAAAUCAUGAAAAAGAGGAAAAUUCAAACACUAAAUUGUAUGUAUAAAAUAUUUGGCACAAAUAAUAUAUAGGAAAACUUGCAAUAAAAAAAUGAAGAAAAUAAAGAAUAAAUAAGAUGCAAAAUAAUACAUGUUCAUCUAAAUAAGUAGUACAUAUAAAAUAAAAUUUUAAUAUAAAUGUUGAAAUAAACAAAGCGUGUAAUUGAACAUCAUUUCCACUAACUAGAUCCUUCUUCGUCAACUGCUGCGAUUGCCUUUCUUUGACUUUCUUUUUCGCCUCUUCUCAUGUUGGUUUUCAACCAAAUUCACCAACCAUUUCGGUUUUCCAGUUUGGAAAACAACAUAUCCCACCAACAUUCCGAACACUACUCCGCAUCCAUAACCUAUCAACACCACUUUCCAACCAAAAGUAAUGUUUGAUUUUGAGCCAUCUUUUUCAAGCACAUCUGGAGGUGUUGGCGCAAUGAUGUUGCAACCUUUCGAGACCGGAAACCCACAUAUGAAUCAUUUCCAAAUGUGUUGAAUUGUUUGCCUUGAGGAAUCUGACCAUGGAGUUGAUUUUCAGAAACAUUUAAGGACAAAAGAAAUGGCAGAUCUACCAAUCUAUUUGGAAUGGUUCCAGACAACCUGUUUGAAGAUAGUGUUGGCACAUAAUUAAAUUAACCUUGCACAAAUAAAUUAUGAAAAGUUAGAAGAGUGAAGAGACUUGAAUAUGAAAAGUGAAAAAACUUGAAUAUGAAUAGUGAAGAGACUUGAAGAUGAAAAGUUAAGAGGCUUGAAUAUGAAAAGAUACACACAUGCAUGAAUAGUCACAACUCCUAGCAUAUAGUGAUAUAGAUGAAUAGUCACUUACAACUCCUAUAUAAAGAGUUGUAUGUGAUGAAGAAUUAUUAACUUUGUGUGCUUGAAAUAAAAGAUUAUUUGAAAGAAUUUUUUCAUACAAAAUUUAUUUCUCUUCUCCAUUAUAUUCUUUAUCAUUUUCUUUGUUUUAUUUCUCCAAAUAUUAAUCAUUCAACUACAAAUUGGUAUCAAAGCCUUGUUCAAUCGAAAUGAACAAUUCUAUUCCUCUUUCUUCCGUUCCCCAAUUAACCAAAGAAAAUUAUGGCAAAUGGAGUAUCCAAAUGAAGGCUCUUCUUGGAUCUCUAGAAGUUUGGGAGAUUGUUGAAAAAGGUUAUAAUGAAGUUGAGGGUGAAGAGGAGGAAGGAUUAACACAAGUUCAAAAAGAGAGUCUAAGAAAAUCAAGGAAGAAAAAUCAGCAAGCCUUAUUUUGGAUAUAUCAAGGAGUUCAAUCAUAUGAAGCGGCUUGGGAAAAAAUAGCUUGUGCCACCACGGCAAAACAAGCAUGGGAAUUUUUACAAAAUUCAUUCAAAGGAGAUGAAAAGGUGAAAAGAGUUCGGUUGCAAACUCUUUGAGGAGAGUUUGAAAGAUUGCAAAAAAUAGAGUCAGAAUCAGUUUCUGAUUACUGUUCACGGGUUUUGUCCAUAGUCAAUCAAUUAAAAAGAAAUGGUGAAACUAUGGAUGAUAUUCGUGGUGUUGAGAAAAUCCUCCGUUCUUUAGAUUCCAAAUUUGACUACAUUGUGGUUGCCAUAGAAGAAUCAAAGGACUUGAGUACCAUGACUAUUGAUGAACUCACAGGUUCGUUGCAAGCCCAUGAAGAAAGAUUAAACAAGAAGAAAAAGGAAGUAGAUCUAGAUCAAGCACUUCAGUCAAAGUUGUCUCUAAAUGAGAAUAAGGGAGAUUUUAAAAAUCAAAGAGGGAGAGAUCGUGGUCGUGGAAGAGGAAGAAAUUUUAGAGGAAGAGGCUCAAAUGCUCGUGAAAGAGGUGAAGAUGUAAGCAUGGAGAAUGGAUGGAAAGAAGCCAACCAAAGUCAAAAUUUUAGAGGAUCACAAAGAGGACGUGGACGUAGAAAUCAAAGAGGAAGAGGUCGUGGCUAUUUUGAAUGUUAUAAUUGUCGCAAACCUGGUCAUUUGGCAAGUGAAUGCUGGUACAAAGAAGAAGAGAAAAAUGAAGCUAAUAUAGUACAAAAUAAUCAAGAGCAAAAGCAAGAAACUUUGUUGCUCGUAUCUCAUGGUGGAGAGAUUGAUGAUGUCUGGUACAUAGACAGUGGUGCUAGCAAGCAUAUGACAGGUAACAAAAAUUUAUUUUCGAAGUUCUUUGAAUCUGAUUGUGGAGAAGUAAAAGUAGGAGAUGGCAAAGCUUACAAAGUUAGCGGUGUUGGUGAGUUGGAGUUCAAAACAAAGCAAGGAAGGGUAGAGAAAAUGUCUGAAGUUUAUUUUGUUCCUGGUCUUAAAAAUAAUCUGCUUAGCGUUGGGCAUCUCUUGAAGAAGGGGUAUGAUAUUCAUUUCCGAGACAUGGCUUGCUAUUUAUCAAAGAAAAAUCAGGUUGUUGCUAGAGUUGGAGUGGCAUCAAAUAAUCUUUUCUCUCUUACCCUUCAAAAUCAGAAUAUGUCUUGUUUUAUUGGUGCUCAUAAAGGAAUUUCAAAGUUAUGGCAUGAUAGAUAUGGACAUUUAAACUAUGGAAAUUUGGAGAUGCUUUCAAGGAAGAUGAUGGUUAGAGGUUUACCAAAAAUCGAUCGGCUUGAUGAUGUUUGUGAAGCAUGUCAACUUGGAAAGCAACAUAAAAUUGCUUUUCCUUCUCAAUCCUCGUGGAAAGCAAGAAGACCAUUGCAACUUAUUCACUCAAAUCUUUGUGGUCCAAUGACAGUUUCAUCUUUAGGAGGUAAUCGUUACUUUAUCUCUUUCAUUGAUGAUUACUCAAGAAAGUUAUGGGUGUAUUGUGUCAAAGAAAAAUCAGAGGCUUUUCAGAGAUUCAAAGAUUUCAAGGCAGAAGUGGAGAACUUUACUGGGUUGAAAAUUAACACCUUGCGUACAGAUCGUGGAGGUGAAUAUUUUUCAAAAGAAUUUGAGAAAUAUUGCCGAGAUAGUGGCAUCCGGCAUGAAAUGACAGUCCGCCAUACACCUCAGCAAAAUGGUGUGUGUGAAAGAAAGAACAGAACAAUUAUGGAAAUGGCUAGAUGUCUUCUUAAUAAGAAGAGGUUAUCAAGAAGAUUUUGGGCUGAAGUUGUUUCCUGUGCAGUUUAUCUUAUAAACAGAUCACCGACAAGAAGCUUGGAGAAUUACACACCACAUGAGGCGUGGUAUGGUAUAAAGCCUAGUGUUAGUCAUCUUAGAGUAUUUGGGAGUGUUGCCUACUCUCUAUUCCAGAUGCAAUGAGAAGCAAGUUGGAUGACAAGUCAGAGAAAUGCAUUUUUAUUGGCUAUAGUGAAAGAAGUAAGGCAUACAAGUUGUAUAAUCCGGUGACAAAGAAGAUUGUGAUAAGCCGAGAUGUUCGGUUUGAUGAAAAUUCCAUGUUUGAAGAUAUGGAAGUUGAAAAGGAAAAUUUGCCAAUUUUUCCUUUUGAACUUGAAGAAGAAGAAGAGGCAGUAAUUGAGAAUGCUGAAGAUGAUGCUCAAGUAGAAAAUCCUCCUGCUUCCCCAUGUUCUUCAUCAAAUUCUUCUUCAUCCAGCCCGAUCCGAAAAACGAGAAGCAUCCAAGAGUUAUAUGAUGUAACGGAUGAAGUUGUGCAAAAUGAUGCUGUAUUCUUUGCCUUCUUUGCAGGAGAAGAUCCAAUUUCUUUUGAUGAUGCAUAUCAAGAAGAAAUAUGGAGGAAAGCCAUGAAAUAAGAGAUUUUCUCAAUUGAAAACAAUGAUACAUGGGAACUCACAGAUUUACCGCCGCACAAGAAUUCAAUUGGAGUCAAAUGGGUGUACAAGACAAAGAUGAAUCCGAAUGGCUCUAUCAACAAGUACAAGGCAAGACUGGUUGCAAAAGGAUACAAGCAAAAGGAAGGAGAAGAUUUUACAGAGGUAUUUGCUCCAGUUUCAAGACUUGAGACAGUUCGGUUACUUAUUUCUCUUGCUGCCCAAAAUAAUUGGAAAAUAUUCCAAAUGGACGUAAAAUCUGCGUUUUUGAAUGGUGUUCUCAAAGAAGAAGUCUAUGUUGAUCAACCACCAGGGUUUGUCAAAAAAGGAGAAGAAGAAAAAGUUUACAAGUUGAAGAAAGCUUUGUACGGGUUGAAGCAAUCACCCAGAGCAUGGUACAGCCGCAUCGAUUCUUAUUUUCAGAAGUGUGGAUUCCAGAAAUCUCCAUAUGAGCAUACUCUCUACAUCAAAGGCAAUUAUCAAGGAAGAUUCAUGGUUGUAAGUCUCUACGUUGAUGAUCUUAUUUUCACAGGAAAUGAUGUGAAGAUGUUGAAAGAAUUUCAGCACUCAAUGAUGGCAGAAUUUAAGAUGACAGAUUUGGGAGAACUUCAUCAUUUUCUUGGCAUUGAAGUUCAUCAAUCCGAGAAAGGAAUUUUUAUUUCACAAGAGAGCUACGCAAAGGAAGUUCUAAAAAAAUUCAUGAUGGAAAAUGCGAAUCCAGUCUCUACUCCAUGCAUUACAGGUCUGAAGUUAUCUAAAGAGGGUGAAGGAAAGCUUGUCAAUUCCACCAUAUUCAGAAGUUUGGUUGGGAAGUUGAUGUAUCUGACUUCGACAAGGCCUGAUAUCGUGUAUGUUGUUAGCUUGGUAAGUAGAUUCAUGGAGAAACCUUACUCCAAUCACUGGGAGGCUGCCAAGAGAAUAUUGAGAUAUGUGAAGGGAACCAUUGAUUAUGGAAUUUUCUAUAAAUCUAAUACAUUAGUUGAUCUCAUUGGUUAUACGGAUAGUGAUUUAGCAGGAAGCAUUGAUGAUAGCAGAAGCACUUCUGGUUAUGUUUUUCACCUUGGUAGUGGUGCAGUUUCAUGGAGUUCAAAGAAACAAUCAAUUGUGGCGCUUUCGACUAUAGAAGCUGAAUAUAUCGCUGCAUCUUAUGCAGGAUGUCAAUUGAUUUGGUUACGUGGAAUUUUGGAAAGUCUUAAGCAGAAGCAAAGCAAGUCAACAAUUUUGUUUUGUGACAAUAGUUCUACUAUUUCGGUCACAAAAGAUCCAAUUCUUCAUAGAAGGACAAAACACAUUCGCAUUCGAUAUCACUUCUUGAGAGAACUAGUGAAUAAUGGUGAUGUUCAAGUUGAAUAUUGCAAGACGGAAGAUCAGAUGGCUGAUAUCUUCACAAAGCCUCUAAGUGGACAAGUCUUCAAGAAAAAUGUUGAAAGGUUGGGAGUUCAAAGCAAGUUUAAUUUAAGGGAGGCAUUGUUGGCACAUAAUUAAAUUAACCUUGCACAAAUAAAUUAUGAAAAGUUAGAAGAGUGAAGAGACUUGAAUAUGAAAAGUGAAAAAACUUGAAUAUGAAUAGUGAAGAGACUUGAAGAUGAAAAGUUAAGAGGCUUGAAUAUGAAAAGAUACACACAUGCAUGAAUAGUCACAACUCCUAGCAUAUAGUGAUAUAGAUGAAUAGUCACUUACAACUCUUAUAUAAAGAGUUAUAUGUGAUGAAGAAUUAUUAACUUUGUGUGCUUGAAAUAAAAGAUUAUUUGAAAGAAUUUUUUCAUACAAAAUUUAUUUCUCUUCUCCAUUAUAUUCUUUAUCAUUUUCUUUGUUUUAUUUCUCCAAAUAUUAAUCAUUCAACUACAGAUAGGUCCAACCAUUCAAGACUUGUCAAAUCCCCUACUGAGGUAGGGAUACCACUAUUAAGGUUAUUAUGAGAAAGGUUGAGCCCUUUCAGUAAGUUAAGCUUCCCAAUAACCUUUGGAAUCUCCCCUUCAAACUGAUUGCUUGAUAGAUCAAUGAUCACCCACAUAGUGAAAAUUUUCACCAAUUCCACGUCUUGUCCUUUCAUAACAAUUCCAAUGGAAUAGGCAUAGAAGUCAUCUCCAUCAUUCACCCCCAUGUACGACACUGUACUACUAACCUUCUCUAGAUUUAUGAUAGCCUUGAAGCUGUUGAUGUAUCUCACUAGUAGGGGUCCAGAAAAAUAAUUACUUGAGAGGUCAAAAAUUUGGAUUUUAGAGAAAAAAGGGCUAGACUUGGAGUUAUUGACACACAGGGAACCAUGCAUUUGAUUUGACUUUAGUACAAGAACUUGUAGCUGUGGAAGACUUCCCAACCAAUGAGGAAAUGUAUCAUUGAUCUUGUUGUUACCAAGAUCUAGUACUUCCAGACCUCUACAAUUAAGGAUGGAUGGUGUCAAAGGCCCUCCUAACAGAUUUCCAUUUAAAUUGAAAUUACUCAAUUGGCAUCCCAUUGCAAAUGUUGGAGGAAUCGUCCCAUAGAACUUGUUCUUCUUCAGAUUCAAGAAUUGAAGGCUGUUGCUCAAAUUUCCAAAACACUGCGGAAUUGUUCCACUCAAGUAAUUGUGGGACAAAUCAAGAAUUUGAAGAUAAGUGGCAUUGCAUAUUAAUGAAGAGACCUCUCCAUUGAAACAAUUAUUUGAGAUCAAAAAGACAGUGAUGGUCGAAGCUGGAAUCGGAAGAUUUCCACUGAUCAAAUUGGAGCUUAAGUCAAGAACAUCAAUAUUCUUCCAUGGAAAGUGCUCAGCUUCUGUCAAAGAGUUGUGAAAUACAUUUAAGUAAGUCAAAGAGCCAUUCCCCACCUCUUGCAUCCACUAUGGAAUCUUGCCUUUAAUUUUGUUGCAAGAGAGGUCUAAGCUUUCCAAACUUUUAAGCCCUUUUAAAAAUUGGGGGAAUUCACUAAGAUUGCAAGAUGACAAAAAUAACCAUUCAAGAUUUCCACUGAUCAAAUUGGAGCUUAAGUCAAGAACAUCAAUAUUAUGACGAUAUAUAAGUUUCCCUUUAUUUUUUAAAAAAAAACCUCGUCUCGAGAUAUCGAAAGGUCAUAUCCAAUGAGUUAGGACACAACGUUUUGAAUUCCCGAGAUAAGCUUUAAUUUGAAAUUUUUAUAUUUUAAUUAAAAAAUGAUACUCAGUUACUUAAAUUCAACGAGGAAAAUUGGAGCCCAGUAAGUUAGGGCACAUUCUUCUCGAAAAUCUUGGAUACCGGGUAUUACGUUAUUUUGAAAACCUUUGAAUAAAACGAUUUCUAUACUUUGAUUAAAUGCAACCUUUUAAACGAAUAAAAUGCGAUGGAACAAUAACAUACAACCCGAAGUGAUAAUUCGUAAACUAAAAUAUAUGCUAAUGAUUGACAAGGAAUCAAUGAAUACGAGUAAGCAAUACAAUACAUCAUAUAAGAGCAACAAUCUCAUAUCCCACAUUAUGCAAAUACUAACGUCCAUAUUAGCAAGCUAAAUGAAUUAAAAGUUAAUUAAAGAACAGCAAGCAAAUUAAUGUAAAUCUAAUAUAACAAGCUUUAAAAUAAAAUAAAAAUAAAAAUCAUGAAAGAGAGGAAAGUGCUAAGGGAUAAGAUUGAAGGCCCGUAAUAUGAUCGCAAGACAAAGAAGCACGCUCUGUUAUGGAAAAAGAGUUCUUGAACUGGAUUAAUGAAGAGCAGGAGUGAGAUCCUGAAGAAGAAAAAGAAGCAUAAAGAUGGGGAAAAAAGAGGAAUAGGGAGAGAAAGAGAUAGGAGGCCAUGUUAUGUUUGUAGAGGAAGAAGGAUAGGAAUGGUAUUUAUAGGCAACAAAUAAUACCACAACAUUGGUGUUACAGUCUUUUUUUUCUUUUACAUUGAAAUGCUACAGAUAUUAGAUUUUCAAAAUAUUUGUAUUUUUCACAAUCAUCAACACUUAGUCGUCAUUUUACCAUAUAUUUUUCAUUCUUUUUUUUUUUAACAAAAUCUUGUAUAUCAUUUGGACUCGCUAAACAACUAAAAAAAUAAAGAUUGAUGAGAUUACAAAGUAGAUUGACUUAGUCUUCUUCCCUAUAACAUGUAAAGAAUGUAUGUGUCUAUUCAAUUGCCUGUCAACCAAAGCUUAUUAAUGUGGAAAUUCUUUUCCACACAAAAGAACAAAAUUGUGCUCUAUUCAGCUACGUUUGAGGAAGGAGACGGCUGGAAAUUUAAUCCACCGAUUCCAUAAAAACGUGUAUAUUUAUUUAUAAAUAUAUAUAUAACCUCAUGAUUCAAAUCUAAAAUCUCAUUUGUUAUAAAUUCUUAUAAAUUUAUUUGGGAAUAGUUAUUUUUCAUUCGUUAAUUAUUUCUCUUUUAGCCGUGAAACUUAUAUGGUUCGUUAAAUCGCCCCAAAAAAUGAUAAAAAAGAUUAACAAAACUAGCCCCUACGUGGCUGAUGUUGACCCUUAGUAGUUAAUGGCAACUCCUAUGUAAUUGUUAACAGAUACCACAGCAACAAUGUUUGUUGACGUGACAAUGCCACAUGACCAAUAAUCGUUGUCAUGGUAGUGCCACGCCGUCACCCAUUGAUGACAUAUUAACCUUCGAGUUAAACUCAAAUUGCUCUUUCCUUUGUUAUAAAUUAAGAGUAUAACUAAUUUUGAUAAGAAUAGUUACUUUUCAUUAACUCAGUUUAAAGGACUAUAACACGUAAAGUUUGGUCUAUUGCAGAAUUCACAUGCAAUGCGGGAUAUUUACAUUUUGAAGAAUUCAACACAUAUAUGGGAAUUUUUGUAUUUCCACAAUCAUAAUUUUGUUAGUGAUCAACAACUACUUCCUCCUUACCAUAUAUUUUUCAUUCAUAAAAUUGAUUACUUUUUUUAUCAAAGAAGUAAAAUAAUUAACAUUCUUAAGAUUACAAAGUCUUCUUCCUUAUAACACGUAAAGUUUAGUUCCAAAUAAUUUUCCACAAAAAAAAGACCAUCAAUUGUCGAUUGACUAUACUUUAACUCCAAAAAAAAGACUAAGACUAUCAAUUGUCUAUUGACUACACUUUAACUCGACAAAAAAGGACUAAGACUAAGACUUUCAAUUGUCUAUUGACUUCACACUUGCGGUUGCUUCCUCCUAUCUCUCUCACCCAAACUUAAUUUAGAAGCAAUGGGGAAAUUUUGGACAUUUGGGCCACAAUGAACAAUACUUCCACACCAUUUGCAGUAUUGACUACGUUUACUUGAGGGAAAACAAAGACAUGAAUGCUGGAAAUUUUAACUAGUUUGUACCGUCAAUGAAGCUACGUACCUAAAAGCCUUUUAGGAUAUCAAUUCCUGUAAUUGGAUUAAUCUCAUCGUUGCUGCAAUCUUUUGACAGUGUAAUCGAAUCUUAAAUAUGUUACUCUGCAAUGCUGUUGUAAAAAUUACUCUUAAAAUUGUCGAUAGAUAUAUAGGUUUGGCACAAAAUUAAGAAUACACAAAGGCAGGUUGAAUUAUUCCAUGUUUGAACAUAAAUUCAUAUGGCAAAAGGGCCCAAACCAUACCUUAUGUUCAUGAAUUCUCAUCAUCACAUGUUUAUAAAUGCAUCUCAAAACUUGAAUAAUUGAAUCUUUUGUAAUUCUACAUGUAUUUUUUUUUAUGGUGAGCAGUAUAAUGUUUACUAAAAAUUGAAAUUCAAGAAAGAAGACAUACAUAGUUGCACCAUACAAGUUGUUACACUCGAACUAAACCCUUACAAAUAGUACGAGAUGCAAUGAAAUACAGAGGAAUUGGUACAAUCAUAAAGACAGACACAUACCAAUGCAACUUUUCACCAUAGGAAAAACUUUCUGACAGACUACUAAACAAGAAAUUAUGAAGACACAGCAGAAAUGCUUUGACUUCUUUUGCACCAACUAGAUCCUUCUUCAUCCAUUGAUGCGAUUGCUAUAUUUUGGCUUUCUUCUUCGCCUCUUCUCAUGUUGGUUUUCAACCAAAUUCACAAACCUUUUCACCUUACCGGUUUGGAAAACAACAUAUCCCAUGGCCAUUCCAAACACUACCCCGCAUCCACAACCUAUCAACACCACUAUCCAACCAAAAGCAAUGUUUGCUUUUGAGCCAUCCUUUUCCAGCACAUUUGGAGGUGGUGUCUCAUUGAUGCUGCAACCUUUGGAGACUGGGAAUCCACAUAGUCUCUGUUUCCUUCAUAUGAAUUGUUUCGAAAUGUAUUGACAAUCUGACCAUGGAGUUGAUUUUCAGAAACGUUUAAGAAGAAAAGAAAUGCCGGAUCUGCCAAUAUCUCUGGAAUUAACUCAGUUCAAAUGACCAUAUAACUCGUAAAGUUUGGUCGAAGACUGGCAGCGUCUAUUGACUUCAACUCUUGCUAUUACCUCAAGAAGAAAGACUGCUACAAUUCUAUCUUCUUUAAACCAGCUAUUUAAAAGCAAUAAGGACAUUAAAUCCACCAAUUUAUCUUUGAAGUCAUUCGUCAUGCAGCUCUGCUAUGUACGAUUAUUGGCAAAAAUCUUGAAAGGAGACAACCUCAAAUUUGAAGACAAGAAAUGAGCAAGAACAUGCACCAACGAAGAAUCGAUUAUUGUUUUGUAUUUGGUAAAUACAAUUUGAGUUAAAUAAUCAAGAAUGAUAGUGAAUAAAUAAGGAAAAACAAUGUAGAUUCAGAACCACAAUAAAUCAUAUUAAGCUCAUGAGUUUAUAAUAUAUAUCUCUGCAGCUUGAUUGCCUUGUUAGCUAUAAACAUAACCUGUUAAUUCCAUCAUUAAUACCAUUAGAUAUAUUUUGAUGGGGGAGAUUUUUUAGUAGGAAAACAGUUGAAGUCAUUCAAGAAGACAUAAACAGCUGCAACUACGUAAGAGUUUAACUUUGAGAAUAGAUCCUUACACGUUAUUGAAAUGCCAUACUAAAGAUAAAGACAUAUAGCUAAACGUUAGACACACCAUAAAAAUAUAUAUAGGUAAAGUGAUAGGGUGUGAGUAAGGAGGCCAUGCUAUGUUUUCAAAUAAGAUUAUCAUGGUAUGAAUUAUGAGAACCCUAUUUAUAGGAAGAACAAAACCGAUAUGAAACUAAGAAUAUAGUCCAUUGAUAAUGAAGAAUCUAAGAAAUUUAAUGGAAAUUGUGGAUAAGCAUCGUGUUUUUAUCUCUGAUGGAGAAAAGCUAAGAGUGUGAGGAAGACCAACUGUCAAUGUCACCCAAACCGAAUCUACAAGUCACCACAAUGUACAGUAAUUCAAAGCAGGAAAAGUUCAUAGUUUCAGAGUAAAUAACACUUCAAUGAUUGUAUUAUAGAAAACAUGUGUAUCCUAUAUAUGUUGAACAAUAUUAUCUAACAAACAUAUUUUCCAAAAGACUAGAAAAUUUGUGAUUAAAUGCUAAAGUUACAUAUUUUAUGUAAUUAAAUUGGUUAAUUUAUGAGAGUGCACCACUAAUUUUUCCAUGUUUUUGUUGAAUUUUGUGCAGGGGUGCAAUUUGGGGCUAAAUAGAAGAAAAAGGAAACAAUUGGGCUAGAUUGAAGAGAGAAGCAAAGAAGGAGGGCCAAAACAGAAUUUUUCCAGAUUAAUUAGCUGAAAUUUUUGUUGACUUAGUGGGAGAUUAUUUUGGGAUUUUUUUUUAUAUCAUGGAAUAUUUUUCCUUAAUUUUCUAUACUAGUUGGCUUUUAAUUUAGCAAGGCCACUAGUAUAAAUAGAGGCUACAUUGUUCAUUUUAAUCAUCAAGUCUUGAAUCAAUUCAUAAAUCAAGCUUUCAUCUUUCAAUACAUUCUCUCUUUUCUACUCACAAAUUUAUUUGUUGUUUUUAGUUUCAUUUACUUUCAAUCCAUUAAUUUCCAGCUUGUUACCACUUAAACCAUUUUCAAUUUCUUUUUCAAACUUUCUUUCCAUCUCCAGUAGCUAAUUCACUUUAUUACACCCCCAAAAUUCCAGCCCCCCAAACUAAAUCACGCCACCCAUUCCUUUCACCCAUUUUACCUUAUUUAAUUUAUCCAAUACCAACAUGCCCCAAACCUUAGCCAACUAAAUUCAUUUCCAGCUUUAGGUCGGAAUUAGCCUCGUCAAAACCCGUGAGUUACGAACCCGAGCAAAUUAACUCCUAAAUUUUAGUACUUAUUAUUUCUCCGGAUUAAGAGUAUGAUUUUGUCAACUCACAAAGUCAGAUCAACAUUAAGUUAAAAAAGACGUCGUUUGAUUUAGUGUGGUUAGACGUACAGUUGGAAUUCCAAAAAGAUCGAUUCUAAUCGGUUUUCUGUGAACACAUUGGCGUGCCAAUUGGAGAUUGCUGUUUGGUUCCGUCAAGGGAAGUAGUAACCCGAUUUAAAUGUCCCACGCGGUUGAGGGCAUUGGUUCGAGCUAGGGUUUUCUAGAACGCAAAGCUGCCGGAGUUCUAAAUCACGAACAUUUCGUGGUUGUUCGAUCAGUAAGGGUUAGUUAUUGGACGUUCCAUAACUAAUUUACACAAGGAAGAGUUAGUGUCUGAGGCGUCCUUGGUAGCUAUAACUAGCUUAUUGGAAAAGAGGAGUUCAUCUAAUUUUGAGAAUCGGUUCAAAGACGAGGAAAAUUCGUGCCUAAAGCUGAGCUUAUUCUAAUUAAAUUUUCUUCAUAUUUAUUUAACUAUUUUAAUUAUUCUGUUUUCAACUUUAUCUUUUCACGCAUUUUAUUUAUUUAUUUCAGGUCUUCAAAUUUUAUCCCCCCGAACUUCUUGGGCACGACAACUGCCCCAACAUAAAUCUGGUCAAAAUAGAAACAAUUUGCAGUAAACCCAGUCUCUGAGGGAUCGACCCUACUCCCUAUACUGUUUAAAUCGCAAAUUAGGCGUAGGUUUAUAUUGGUGGAUUCGACACCCAUCAAUUUGUAUGUCAUUUUCUAUUACUUGCAAGAAAACUACAGGGGAAAUUGCAUUUCUAAUUCAUCCAUAGGCUUUAAAUUCAAACAAGAAAAAGGAAAAAGAAUAUAUAUAUAUCAACAGGAAACUUCAAGGAGAGAAAUUUUGUUACAUCAAUUUUCCAGUCAUAUUUAAUCUUUACCCAAAGUUGAUUCUAGAUUAAAUUUGGAAAAAAUUAAAAAAGAGGACAUGUAUUUUUUUUUAUUUUUGAAAAGUAAAGGAUUAUAUCUCAGCCAAAUAAAAAAGUCACAAUGCAAAGCCAAGAGCCAAAGCCAAGCCAAGCACACACUCAACUAGCAGACAUAACUCAUACAGGACCUAGAUGUAUUAUUGAACUCUUAUAUAAAAGACAACUGAAGAUGCAAAGCUUAAUUGUUAAGCUUUUCUGAUGCUUGAUAAGCAUAGUUUUAGUUCAGUUCCGAAAUCUAAACUGCUUUGCUAUGGGAUUAUUUUUAUAAGUACAUUGAGAUCAAUGCAUGCUAUUGCGAUUUAUUAUCUUUGAUGCCAAGGAAAUGACAGAAUUCAAAGACCAAAAGGUUCGAUUACAUACUAGAUCAUGGAUGUAAGCCAAUCUACAACCUCUCUCCUCGACCUCCAUGUGAAACCAGCAUGAUUUGAAUUCUCAGCCGCAUAUACCCUCACAAACUCCUCAGCAACAACAUAAAACAUAUACCUAACACUCCUUUGAGAACCGAUAACUGCACAGACAGAUUCACUAAUGGAAGCCUUCAAGAAAUAUUGAACCACACAAUUACCACACUUCUGUGAAAUAAACUUGUUGGUGCAAAGAGACAACAAUAGACUGUUUUCAAUCUUGCUUGUAUAGCAAGCCUCGAGCCUUGCUGAAGAAACAAACUCAAAAGCAAGAACAGAAACACAUGCGAAUGAAAAACAAAAGAAAUUGAGAGAGAGAGUAUUUUGAAUGAAAAGAGCUGAUAUUUCAUUAACAAAUCCAGAAGGCAUAAUGCCAUUACAUAUAAUAGAUAACAACAACAAAAUGAACAAGUCUUUACCUAAUGACAUACCUAACACCACUAAAUUUACAUUGGAAAUUGUUAAUCAGCUUGCUUAAGUUUCUUUGCUGAUUUUUUCAGUCAAUCAAUCAACAAAAAACAUCAUAAGGUUUACCAACUUAGUUCAACAUGAACUAGAUUACAAAAUAAUAAUUAAAAAUACAAUCAAAACAUAACAAGUAGUUAGGCAACUUUAAGCUCCAGUUUCUGCACUUCAUAGCUCGACUGCUUGCUGCCACUUCUCCUUGCAUGGCCACCUUUGCAUGUCUUGCAUGGGAACUAAAUUCAACACUCCUCCUUAGUUUCCAUGCUAGUGACACCUAAUUGCCUUCUUAAUUUAACAAAUUUAGACACAUUGAGUGCCUUUGUAAAGAUAUCAGCAAUUUGCUCUUCUGAAUUGCAAUGAACCAGCUCGAUUUCAUGAGCUUGCUCCAUCUCCCUUAUGACAUGUAGCUUGAUGUUGAAGUACUUUGCUCUACCAUGAAAGAUAGGAUUCUUUGCAAUUGCAACAGCAGAUUUGUUGUCACAGUAAAUCUCUGUUGCCUUUCCUUGAUUUUGAUUUAAAUCAGCUAGGAUUUUUCUAAGCCAUAUGGCUUGAUUUACAGCAGAUGCAGCAGCAACAUAUUCAGCUUCUGCUGUUGACUGUGCUACCAGACUUUGCUUUUUAGAACUCCAGCAAAACAUGCCUGAGCCAAGACUAAAGGCAUAUCCAGAUGUGCUUCUCAUGUCAUCACAAGAUCCAGCCCAGUCACUAUCAACAUAGCCUAUUAGCUUCAUGUUUAUAGCCCUUUUGAACAAUACACCAUGAUCAAUGGUGCCUUUGAUGUAUCUAAGCACUCUUUUAGCUGCUUGAAAGUGCUGAUCAUUGCAGCAAUUCAUGUAUCUGGAUAGCACACUAACAGCAAACAUGAUAUCGGGUCUUGUUGCAGUCAAAUACAACAGACUACCAAUGAGACUUUUGUACAUAGUCUCGCAAAUUGGUUCACCACUCCCUUGCCUCGAAAGCUUCACUCCAACAGCCAUUGGUGUGCUUGUUGGCUUGCAGUUCUUCAUAGAGAACUUAUCCAGGAUCUUCAUAGUAAAAGAACUCUGACUAAGAAAGAUUCCCUUUGCUGUUUGCUUCACUUCCAUUCCAAGGAAGUAGUUCAUUCUGCCUAAAUCAGACAUUUCAAACAUUUCCAUCAUUUUUCUUUUGAAAUCUUCCAGCAUUCUUCUAUCUCCUCCAGUCACCAAUAAAUCAUCAACAUAGAGUGACAGGAUAAGCUGAGUUUCAGCUUGGUUCUUCUUCACAUACAGUGUUGGUUCACUGAGACUUCUCUCGAAUUCCAAACUGAGCAAGUAAGAAUCAAUUCGAGCAUACCAGGCUCAAGGAGCCUGUUUUAGGCCAUACAAAGCCUUUUUCAGUCUGUACACCUUGUGUUCUUUGCCAGUGACCACAAAUCCUUGAGGCUGUUCGAUGUAGAUCUCUUCUUCCAGGAAACCAUUGAGAAAUGCAGACUUAACAUCAAGCUGAUGAAUGGUCCACUGAUGUUGAGCAGCCAAGGCAACUAUCAUUCUAACUGUGUCAAGCCUGGCUACUGGUGCAAAUGUCUCCAGAUAGUCCAGACCAUACCUUUGGCUAAAACCUUUGACAACAAGCCUGGCUUUUAGCUUGUUCAGACUGUCAUCUGCAUUCUGUUUUGCUCGAUAGACCCAUUUUACUCCAAUGGUCUUCUUUCCAGUAGGUUUAUCAACUAGCUCCCAUGUCUGGUUCUUCUCAAUCAUGUUGAUUUCAUCGACCAUAGCUAGUUUCCAGCCUUCAUCUGCCUCAGCCUCUUCAAAACUGCUAGGUUCUGCUAUUGCAACCUGUGCCCUUUCAUAAAUAUCAUCUAGGGGCCUUGUGCCUCUCACAAGCACAUCAUCAACAUCCAUUUCAGGUCCUAGCUGCUCAAGUUCAGCUUGAUUAGGCACCAGGUCUUCUGAAGCAGCUUCUGGUUCAUUCUUUUCCCAAUUCCAACAAGCCUUCUCAUCGAAGAUGACAUCUCUGCUCACUUGAACUAUGUUUGUCAAAGGAUCCAGCACCCUGUAGCCCUUCUUAACUGAGCUAUAGCCUACUAGAACACCUGGUUGAGCCCUUUCAGAGAGCUUGUCUCUCUUAACUGCUGGUAUUUGUGCAUAACACAGGCAACCAAACACCUUCAGAUGUACCAAGGAAGGCUUGAAACCGGACCAAGCCUCGAAAGGUGUUUUGGAUGCAAGAGCUUUGGUAGGAAGCCUAUUUUGAAGGUAGACAGCAGUGUUUACUGCCUCAGCCCACAUGGUCUUGGGCAGUUUCUUCUCAAACAGCAGGCACCUGGCCAUAUCCAUCAAGCUUCUGUUCUUUCUUUCUGAUACCCCAUUCUGCUGAGGUGUGUAGACAUUUGUAAGCUGGUGUUUGAUACCAGCAUCAUUGCAAAUGGCUUGAAACUGAGCUGAAGUGUACUCAGUGCCAUUGUCUGACCUUAUCGAUUUCAGCUUGCAACCUGUUUCUGUCUCUACAGCAAUUUUAAACUUCACAAACACUUGAGCUACCUCAAACUUGUGUUUUAAGAAGAAAAUCCAGCAAAACCUUGUAAAAUCAUCAAUGAAGAGGAUGAAAUACCUAUUUUUCUUGAGUGAUUCAGUCCUCAUCGGGCCACAUACAUCAGAGUGCACCAGCUGUAGUUUUUUAGUAGCUCUCUAAGCUGAAUUUGUAGGAAAUGGCAGUCUUGCCUGUUUCCCCAUCUGGCAAACUUCACACACAUCAUCAUGCUCCACUGAGCUAGUAAAGUUCUCUGCCAAGCCUUCUUUGGCCAUUCGAGCCAAUGAUCUGAAGUUGGCAUGCCCAAGCCUUUGAUGCCAAAGCUUGGAAUCAUCAACAGAGGCUGUAUAUGCAGACUUUGAGUCAUUUGGCCAGUGUACCUCAAAGCAUUUGUUAGUCAUUGUGACUGUCAUAAGGCUUGAUCCACUUGGAUCAGCAAUGUGGCACUGUUUGUUCUUGAACACAACAGAAUAGCCUUUCUUGAGCAAUUGAGCUAUGCUGAGAAGGUUUCUGUCGAUUUCUGGCACUAACAGCACAUUUGGAAUGAUCUUGUUGCCUGUGGGGGUACAUAUCAGCACCUCUCCUCUUCCUUCAGCCCUUAUGAACUGACCAUUUCCAACCUUGACCUUGGUUUUACAACUUCUAUCCAAGGUUUUAAAUAAGGAGGCAUCUGGUGACAUGUGGUUAGUGCAACCACUGUCCAAUAACCAGCCUUUUGAGCAUUUCUUCUCAGCAGCUAAGAAAGAAACAGCAAAGACCUGCUCUUCUUGAUCACUACUGUCCUCAGCUACUCGAGCUUCAACCUUUGGUUGUUGAAAUUGACUCUGCCUUGACUUGGUUUUAUUUUUGCAAACCCUUUCAACAUGGCCUUUCUUCUUGCAGUGUUGGCAUACUGCAUCUGGCCUGAACCAGCAUCUGUCUUCUGGAUGACCUGGCCUCUUGCAAUGUCUGCAGGGCUGGUCAUUGCUCCUUGCAGUAUCAGGCUUAGGCCUGCUUUUCCAAGGCUUUUUACCUCUUGGAGCAUUGAUGCUCGAGGCUUCUCUGGCCUUGGCAUUGAAUGCACCUUCCUGGUGGUCUUCAGCUCUGCUAGCUCUCCUUUGUUCCUGAGCAUAGAAAGUGUUGAUUAGCUCAGUCAAAGAGAUGGUAGCAAGGUCUCUUGAGUCCUCAAGAGAGGAUAUCUUGGCCUCAUAUCUCUCAGGCAAAGUGGAGAGAACUUUCUCUACUAUCCUUGCCUCAUCAAAGUGCUCACCAAGGAGCCUUAUACUGUUAACCACUGCCAUGAUUCUAUCUGCAUACUGCUUCACUGUUUCUUCUUCCUUCAUCUUCAGGUUCUCAAAAUCCCUUCUCAAAUUCAAUAGCUGUUGUUGCCUUGUUCUCUCAGUGCCUUGAAACUCCUCCUUAAGCUUAUCCCAUGCCUGUUUUGGAGUCUCACAGGCCAUAAUUCUGGUGAAGAUGACAUUUGACACACAAUUCUGAAUGCAGGACAUGGCUUUGUGCCUUUUGGUCCUCUCAUCAGCAUGUUGCCUAAUCUGAGCUACUGUGGGAUUGGCCCUCAGUGGUGCUGGCUCAGCAUCUGUGUUGACAACUUCCCACAGAUCAAAGGCCUGUAGGUAAGUCUUCAUCUUGACCAGCCAUAUGUGAAAGCCUUCUCCAUUGAAGACUAGUGGGGCUGCUGGUGAAAAACUUGAGGAAGACAUUCAGCUUUCUUAGUUUGAUAAAACAGGUCCACUAAGAAUGAAGCUCUAGAUACCAAUUGUUGGUGCAAAUAGACAACAACAGACUGUUUUCAAUCUUGCUUGUAUAGCAAGCCUCGAGCCUUGCUGAAGAAACAAACUCAGAAGCAAGAACAGAAACACAUGCGAAUGAAAAACAAAAGAAAUUGAGAGAGAGAGUAUUUUGAAUGAAAAGAGCUGAUAUUUCAUUAACAAAUCCAGAAGGCAUAAUGCCAUUACAUAUAAUAGAUAACAACAACAAAAUGAACAAGUCUUUACCUAAUGACAUACCUAACACCACUAAAUUUACAUUGGAAAUUGUUAAUCAGCUUGCUUAAGUUUCUUUGCUGAUUUUUUCAGUCAAUCAAUCAACAAAAAACAUCAUAAGGUUUACCAACUUAGUUCAACAUGAACUAGAUUACAAAAUAAUAAUUAAAAAUACAAUCAAAACAUAACAAGUAGUUAGGCAACUUUAAGCUCCAGUUUCUGCACUUCAUAGCUCGACUGCUUGCUGCCACUUCUCCUUGCAUGGCCACCUUUGCAUGUCUUGCAUGGGAACUAAAUUCAACAAAACUCCUUCUGCCACUCGAAACAAUGACCAUUCCAAACAUUUUGAUAGACAAUACACAAUUUGCUUCACUACUUACUCACAUAGCCAAAAAAUAUCCAAUGAAACUGGCAAAGGGUUCUUCCAAAAUGGUACAUUAGCUGCCAAAAAGACAACCACCAUAUAUUCCUUCAUUCAGUAAACAGCUUCAAUAUGGAAAUAAGUUAUUAUCUUAAAAAUGCUUUUUCUACCACAGAAGAAUAAGAACUAGGCAUCUCAGAAAAUUUGCUAAAUUAAUGACUUUGCUCCCUUCAAAAUAAACAAAUGAUUAACUGCAUUAUCCCAAAGAGGUCACCAUCAACCUCCAGUUGAACUUUCAAGGAAUAAUAAUAAAAAAUAGAAGGAAAUAAGGGGGAAAAAACCCAACCAGAACUCAGUAAUAGCUGAGCCUUGAAGAUCUGUAGGUAGUAAGAGAAAAACCCCAUGACGACUAAAGUCCAGGCUUGAAAGAACCAAAAGGGAGCAACAUAUGACUAUGAUUCACUGGACCAAGAGAAUCACCAAUGAAUAAAGGAAAAAGGGUACUUUCCUUUAUACCUAAACAUACAAUAUUUAGCCUCAAAAUGGGAAAAUUUCAGGUUUUCACAAAGGGUUUAAGAAAGAGGGUGAAAGUUAAAGAACUUGUCUUUGUUUUGAUGUGUGGUACACGAGAUAGUGAAGGAAAAUAGAGGUGAGGAAAUAAGAUGGAGUAAGUGCCUAAGUGGUGAAAAAGGAGAGCCUAAAAGAGACAUUUUUGAAGGGUAGUUUAGAAGCUGCAGAGGCUUUGGCAUACAGCAGCUGAUAAUGAGAGAAGACAAACCAGAAAUGUAAGUACGACGACGAUAAAAAUUAAAAAAUUUUAAGAAUUAAUGAAAUAAAAUUUUGUAGCUUAGCGAAUUGGGACGAAGUCCACCAGUGUGAUGCCCAUAGAUCCAUACCUGGGAUUUUUCUAUUUGGGCUAACUUUCUAACUUCUCCCACCAGUCUUAAAACUUUGCAGAUUUUUUCAAUUUGAUCUGGAUUGUAUGAUAACAUAUCACUUUGAGAUUGGAAAAAAAAUUAUUUUUUUUAAAUUAGAGAAAAAAUAAAGAAACUAAAUUUCAAGCAUGCAAAGUACAAAAGAAAGAACUGUAUUAAUAAAAGAUGAGUUACUUCACUCAGAUUGGAGUACCCUUUAAACAAGUUUAUUCUUGUAGAGAAAGAAACUGGAUUUUGAUUUCAUUUGCUGUGGCAAAAUUUUUAAUUUCAACAACAGUAUAACAUAUUGAAAGCCUGCCUACAUCUCGGCAGAAAAAUUUACAAAUUCUUUCAUCAGACAAUUUAAAUGAUGCAAUGCAAAGAUUCAUCAAUGUAUGAUCUUUUUAUCAUAAAUGGCUGUUUUACUGGAAAACUUGAUAUGUACUGUCUUUCACAUUCUUUUGUGCUGAAUGGUCUCUGAAAACUGCAAUCAUCAACUAUAGAUAACCCAUUCCUCAGCGCCGCCAGAGCCGACCUUGUUGUUUCUGUUCUUGAACUUGCCUGUGUCAUCAAAGGCAGUGAGCAUUUAUCAAUGUUAUAAAAAUGGCAUAUCGAAGUCAGAUUUUACUUGACAAUACACAAAUGUAAGAAGAUAAUUCACCUUUGAUACUCUUUAGAACGCUCGAGAAACUCUUUCGCGAUGUCUUUUCUUUAAUAUGAUUGCAAUACUUGUCUGAUAUCAGCCGGACCAUUGUGUUAGUACAAAACUCCGGUAAGGAAAAAAACUCGAACACACGAUCGGAACUCGAAAAGAAAAAGAAGAAAUAGGACAGGCUCCAAGGCGUGUAUCAAGCCACUAUCUUUAAGGUUAUAUUCGCCCCCACUUAUCUUCAGUGUGCAAACGAGUUCCAAGCAAAUUAACCUCGAGGAUACAAUGAAGCCAAUGACUAUUUGCGUUUUGCACUGACGAGAAUAGUCCACUAUACACUAAGUAAUGUAUAACAAAAACUCAAUUUCUACAAAGGAUUUCUGCAGCAAUACUUUAUAGAAUAAUCUAAUAAUAUUAGAAAAUGAAGGAAGAGAAGAAAUAAUAUUAGAAUUUGUUGAUAUGAUUUCCAAAUGAAAUCCCAUUCCUAUUUAUAGGAAUUUUCAUGUCUCUUCAUAGAGACAUCUUUCAAUAGGUGUCUUUAUGAAUAAAUAAAUAAUAAUAAUUAUUCAUUUAAUUUUGUAACUAUUCAAAUAAUAUUUUUUGAAUAGUUAUAAUUCUUUUUUAAAAAAUCAAAUGAUAUAACUUUUGACCAAUGACCAAAAGUUUUAUCUUUUGAUUAAUUACACCCAUUCAUUUAUAGUUAUUGGGAUACUAUAAAUAUUUGAAAAUAUUCCAACAAUCUCCCCCCAUUUUCAAAAUAUUUAGAUUUUGAUAUUCUUGGAAAUCAAUUUGCAUAAAUAAAGGUGUCUUACGAUUGAACCUUCACUUAGUGAAAACAUGUUAAAGUUAAUCGAAAUUGUAUGGUAGACUAAGCUUUGAACCAACUAUUCCAUUUGAUUAAUUGAACACAUCUCACACAAUGAUUUCAACAUCAGUCAAUGCAUAGUAUCUAGGGACACUAUUAUAGCCAUGUGUCUAUGUCCUCUUUUCAUGAGUGCUGUCAGAGCCAAGCCCUUAAGCUCCUAGAAGCGGCCACACUUCCACUCACAUAGGUAGAUCCCAUCAAAAGUGUUCCCGUAAUUAUAACACUCUAACAUAUUUAUGUUAUGGGUCCAUUAAGAGUAAAUUACUCAUCCUUCCCUUAUCAUUACGGGUACCUAGCACUUUAAUCUUAGGAUGGAUUUAUUUAUAGUGCUAACAGUCACAUACUAAUGAUGUACUUUGUCUCAUUGAACUCAAGACUUGACGUUAUACCAAGCAUUGAGUCGAGUUUCCAUCAUGGGUGACUCUAAUUAAUAGGCUUGAGUCCCAUCCCUUUUGAGGUCCUUUUUACUGCAUCUCUAGCAAGACUUUUUGUCAAAGGAUCUGCCAAAUUUUCACUUGACCUCACAUAAUUAAUAGUGAUCACUCCAUCAGAGAUUAAUUGUCGGACAUAACUAUGUCUUAAUCCAAUGUGUCUAGACUUUCCAUUAUAUACUUGGCUAUAUGCCUUUGCUAGAGUAGCCUCACUAUCACAACGGAUAGAAAUAGGUGAAAUUGGCUUAAGCCAUAAACGUACAUCAUAAAGCAAAUUUCUUAACCAUUCUGCUUCUUUAGAUGCAGCGGCUAAUGCAAUAAAUUCUGCUGCCAUGGUGGAAUCAGUAAUACAUGUUUGUUUCUUGGAACCCUAAGAAAUGACUCCUCCACCAAGAAUGAAGAUCCACCCACUAGUAGAUGCAUGAUCUUCCAAACUUGUAAUCCAACUAGCAUCCGAAUACCCUUCUAAAACUGGAGGAUAUCCAUUAUAACACAAUCCAUAGUUAAUAGUUUUCUUUAAGUACCUAAGUACUCUAUUUAAAGCUUGCCAAUGCAAACUACUUGGAUUAUUUGUGUAUCUACUCAAUUUUCCAAUAGCAUAUGCAAUAUCUGGUCUUGUACAAGUCAUUAUGUACAUAAGAAAACCAAUUGACUUGCAUAUUUCAAUUGAUCAAUUUUCCUACCAGCAUUAGAUACUAAUUUUAAUUGAGGAUCCAUGGGUGUAGAUACUGGUAUACAGUUGAAAAUAUCAAACUUUUUAAGCACAUUUUCAAUGUAAUGUGAUUGUGAUAAAGCUAUAGUGCUUUCAUCUCGGGUUAUUUUAAUCCCAAGAAUAACAUCUUCUACACCCAUAUCCUUCAUAGCAAAGUUGUUUGACAAGAAUUUCUUUGUGUUUUCUAUUUGUUCCAAAUCCGUGCCAAAAAUGAGCAUGUCAUCUACAUAUAAGCAAAUUAUAACACCCUUUCCAUUAUCAAAUUUACUAUAUAUGCACUUAUCGGAUUCAUUUAUUUAUAGCCAUUAGCUAAAACAACCUUGUCAAACUUUUGGUGCCAUUGUUUUGGUGCUUGUUUAAGCCCAUAUAAAGAUUUAACAAGCUUACAUACCUUAUGCUCUUGUCCUGGAACAACAAAUCCUUCCGGUUGCUCCAUGUACACUUCCUCUUCCAAUUCACCAUUUAAAAAUGCAGUUUUAACAUCCAUUUGGUGAACAACCAAAUUAUAUAUAGAGGUAAGUGAUAUUAAUAGUCUAAUUGUAGCAAUUCUUGCUACUGGAGCAUAGGUAUCAAAGUAAUCAAUACCUUGUCUUUGUGUAAAACCUUUUGCUACCAACCUUGCUUUAAAUUUAUCAAUGGUUCCAUCGACCUUCAUUUUCUUUUUGAAGAUCCAUUUACAACCUAUUGGUUUGGAACCUGGUGGAAGAUCAACUAAGAUCCAAGUUUGAUUUCCCAUUAUUGAAUCCAUUUCAUCAUUUAUUGCUUCUUUCCAAAAAGUAGAGUCUUGAGAUUUCACUGCUUCUUCAAAUGUAACAGGAUCAGAUUCGGUAUUAUAACAAUAAGGUAUCUUAUUGCAUAUACUUUCACCUUUUCCUUCUAUAAGAAACAUAAUGAAAUCUGGUCAAAAAUCUUUGACCUUUUUAAUCCUCUUACUUCUUCUUAAUUCUUGACAAGAUUCAUCAUUAUUAUCAAUUUGUUUCAAUGGAAUCUCAUUCUCAUUUGAAGAAUGAAUCAAUUGUUGUGGUUGUAAUUGUCUUGAUAUAGAAUUAAAUCUAUUUUCAUCAAAAAUAGCAUCUCUUGAUUCAAUAACCGUAUUAAUUGAAAUUGAAUCAUUUGGUUCAAUUACUAUGAACCUAUAUGCCUUGCUAUUAUGUGCAUAACCUAUAAAUAUGCAUUCAAUUCCUCUUUCACCUAACUUUUUACGUUUAGGUGUUGGAACUUUUACAAUAGCUCUACAACCCCAAACCUUUAAAUAAUUAAGGUUUGGUUUCCUUUUCUUCCAUUGUUCAUAGAGGGUUAUUUUAGUUUCCUUAUUAGGAACUCUAUUCAAUAUAUGACAAGCUGUUAGAACAGCUUCUCCCCAAAAACCCUGUCCAAGACCUGAAUAUGAUAACAUUGAAUUUACCAUUUCAAUCAAGACUCUAUUUUUCCUUUCAGCUACACCAUUUUGUUGUGGUGUGUAAGGGGCUGAAACUUGAUGGACAAUUCCAGUGAGUUCAAAAUAACUUGGAUUAUAGUAUUCUCCACCUCUAUCCGAUCUUAAGCACUUGAUAAAUGAUUCACACUGAAGUUCAACUUCAGAUUUAUAAACUUUAAAUUUAUCAAGCGCUUCAUCUUUUGAAUGCAAUAAAUAUACAUAACAAUAUCUAGAACAAUCAUCAAUAAAAGUAACAAAAUAUUUCUUUCCACCUAAUGUAGGAGUAUUAUGCAAGUCACAUAAAUCACUAUGUAUCAAAUCAAGCAAUUUUGUUUUCCUUUUAACCUUAGGGAAAGGAUUUCUUGUAAUUUUAGUCAACAUACAGGUAUUGCAUUUUUCAAUAUUAUUAUUAAAAACAGGAAUUAAAUCUAAUUUAUACAUGUCAUUCAAUUUUCUAUAAUUCAAAUGACCUAAUCUAUAAUGCCACAAACAAAAUGAUUCAACCAUAUAAGCAGAAAUAGUAUUUUUAUUCUUAUUAAUAAUAUUAAGUUUGAACAUGCUUUCAUACAUAUACCCUUUUUCCCACAAAAAUUCCUCCCUUAGACAAAAUAAACUUAUCUGCCUCAAAAACAAGUUUGAAACCAAACUUAUUCAACAGACUUCCAGACACUAAAUUUUUCCUAACUUCUGGUACAUAAUAUACAUCAUUUAAGGUUAAAACCUUUCCAGAAGUGAAUUGUAGUUCAACAGACCCUUUGCCUUUAAUUUGCGGUGGAAGAAUUUCCCAUGUACAAGACAUUGUCAUUUUCACAUUGUGUGACUUUGUGAACAUGCUUUUGUCUUUGCACACAUGUUUGGUUGCUCCGGUAUCAAUCCACCAUGUAUUAUCAUCUUGUACCAUAUUAAUUUCAGAUAUCAUUGCAACGAACUUUUCGUUAUUAUCAGCCUUAGAAGAUGAUUUCUUCUUUAAAAAUCGAUAUUCAUUCUUGAAAUGUCCCGGCUUUCCACAAUGAUAGCAUGAGCCCUUUUGUUUCUUUUUGAACUUAGGUGCUCUAUCAGCCUGAUUGAACUUUCUUUUGAAUGGUUUAGUAGUCUGUACUUCCUCCGUAACAUGUACUUUGGCAUUUUCAGAAUUUAGGUUCUGAUCUUGUUGUCGAUACUCUUCUUCAAUACGAAGAUGAUUUGCCAAAGCCUCAAGAGAUAUUUCCUCUUUCUUAUGUUUUAGACUUCUUUUAAAGUCUUUCCAAGAUGGAGGAAGUUUGUCUAUUAUAGAGGAUACCACAAUUAUUUCAUCCAUUUUCAUAUCAUAUUGCUUAAAUUGAUUCAACAUCUUUUCAAUAUCACGAAAUUGUUCCAUAACAGAACGACCAUCAACCAUUUGAUAAUUAUUGAAACGACUGACAAGAAAUUUCUUACUUGUAACAUCUUCGGUCAUGUAUCUUGCCUCCAAUUUGUCCCAUAAAUCUUUAGCGGUGACGUCGUUUUGGUAGGUGUCGAACAAACCAUCAGAUAAACCAUUCAAUAUGUGGCCCAUGCACAUGUAAUCAGCAUUGUCCCAUUUUUGUCUUUCUCGGGUUGCAGCAAUAGAUUCGUUUUCAUUCUCUUCAGGUCUUGGAGUAUCCAAAACAUAAGCAAUCUUCAAAGUUGAUAACAAAAAGUGCAUCUUUUUCUGCCAUCGUCGAAAAUUGCCACCAUCAAAACGAUCAAGUUUAACAAAGUUGGAAGCCAACUCCCUUAGUGUUCCACUUUCAUGUGUUGUGGUAGUCAUCAUGAAAUAUAACCUUAAAAUUGUUAGUACAAAACUCCGGUAAGGAAAAAAACUCGAACACACGAUCGGAACUCGAAAAGAAAAAGAAGAAAUAGGACAGGCUCCAAGGCAUGUAUCAAGCCACUAUCUUUAAGGUUAUAUUCGCCCCCACUUAUCUUCAGUGUGCAAACGAGUUCCAAGCAAAUUAACCUCGAGGAUACAAUGAAGCCAAUGACUAUUUGCGUUUUGUACUGACGAGAAUAGUCCACUAUGCACUGAGUAAUGUAUAACAAAAACUCAAUUUCUACAAAGGAUUUCUGCAGCAAUACUUUAUAGAAUAAUCUAAUAAUAUUAGAAAAUGAAGGAAGAGAAGAAAUAGUAUUAGAAUUUGUUGAUAUGAUUUCCAAAUGAAAUCCCAUUCCUAUUUAUAGGAAUUUUCAUGUCUCUUCAUAGAGACAUCUUUCAAUAGGUGUCUUUAUGAAUAAAUAAAUAAUAAUAAUUAUUCAUUUAAUUUUGUAACUAUUCAAAUAAUAUUUUUUGAAUAGUUAUAAUUCUUUUUUAAAAAAUCAAAUGAUAUAACUUUUGACCAAUGACCAAAAGUUUUAUCUUUUGAUUAAUUACACCCAUUCAUUUAUAGUUAUUGGGAUACUAUAAAUAUUUGAAAAUAUUCCAACACAUUGCGGGCUACAUCUGUGAACAAAUCAAAACAAAUGGUACUAUAAUCAACAAAUGAAUAUAGGAAACAUAAAAUUUGAACAAAGGCGAUGUGCAGAGGAAAAAGCAACAACAUAAGACUUACAUUCAAGAAAUGGAAUAAGGUCUAAAAGUGCGGUAUCAUCAGUCUCGACCUUAUAUGGCUUAAUAUGGACACAAUUUUCUGGUUGAAGGCUAGAAUCAAAUGCAUGAGCACUCACAUAUAAAAUCUUGGUUGGAUCCCUGUUUAGCUUUGAAAGAUCCUGCCAACAGGAACUAUUUGUUAACAAUAAGGCUUCUUUUUAAGUAGCAGCUUGUAAAGGCACUGUCUCAUAUAUUAAUUCACAUAGUAUUGUAGAAACUAAGGAGGAGAAAACCAAAAGCAAAAUGUUUUGAAGGGAAGAGAUUGACUAUGACAUGGUAAAAGUAUCAUGGAGGCCCCUAUGUUAGGAGUUAGAUUGCCUUUUGCCCCCUUUACUCAAAAACUGGAUAAAUUAGUCCCUAUAUGUUAGAUUAAAGAGUAAGCUAGACUUUCUGUUAAAAAUUUCAUCCAUUGCUACUGUUAAAAACUGGUGCAGUUGAUAAAAUAACCAAACAGUUACACAUAAUGUGUCACGUGUACCUCAUGCUAAUGUAUAUGGACCAAUUUUUAACAGUAGAAAUGGAUGGAACUUGUAACAGAAGGGCUGGUUUGCUUUUUAAUCUAAUUUACAGGGAUUAAUUUGCCCAUUUUUUUAGUAAAGGGGUGAAAUGCAAUAUGACUCCUAGUAUAAGGGCCUCCAUGGUACUUUUACCACUAUGACAUACUCUAUAAUGCUUGCCAUCCUGAUAUUUAGUAGCACCCCUUGAUAGCCUAUAUCGUAUACAAUGGUUAGUGUCCAACCUUUCACAAGCAGGAUCAACAUACCGCAUAGCCAAAAACAAAAUAAUUAUGAACUUGCAGGCAACAUCAGUUAUAGUAUAUCUGAAAAAGAUAAGGAAAAAAAACUGUUACUUUCAUAUCUAAUUUCUUUAUAGUAUUAGGACAAACUAAACAAUGGAUAUAUCACAUUAUUAAGACUUAGCUAAGGAGCCGCUGAUAUACAUUCAAAUGAUCAAUCAUAAAGGAUGAACUAGGAGGCCUAAUGAUAAAUCAAAAUUACACCUAAACCAGUUAUAUGUCUAAAGGCAAUUGCACAUUAUAUCAAUCAAACAACUAAAAUAAAUAGAGAAAAUCCUUUAAAAUAUUCAAUUUCUAAACAAAAUCAAACUCACAUCAAUAGCAGAUCUUGACAAAGAAACCCAAAAUCACAAAUGAUCCUAUCUUUUUAAAAGGGGAAAAAGAAAACUUACUAUAAGAGAGAUAACCAGCAUAGCCAGUAGUUCCAGUAACACCUGCAAUGAGUCCGUACUUGACAAAGCUCUAAAUUUUCCCUCCCGAAACCUGUGGGGCAACUUUCGGCGCCAGAGGAGGAGGUGUCGACUGAUCGGAGAGAAUGGAUUGUGAAGAACAAUCCAAACUUAAUUUACAAGCAAUGUGGAAAUUUUGGACGUUGCAGUAUUGACUACGUUUACUUGAGGGAAAACAAAGACAUGAAUGCUGGAAAUUUUAACUAGUUUGUACGGUCAAUGAAGCUACCUCGAAUGUUAAAUAUGUUACUCUGCAAUGCCAUUGUAAAUAUGACUGUUAAAUUUGUUGAUAGCGGAAUUGUUCCACUCAAGUUAUUGUGGGACAAAUCAAGAAUUUGAAGAAAAGUGACAUUGCAUGUUAAACAAGAGACCUCUCCAUUGAAACUAUUAUUUGAGAUCAGAAAGACAUUGAUUGUCGAAGCUGGAAUCGGAAGAUUUCCACGGAUCAAAUAGGAGCUUAAGUCAAGAACUACAAUAUUCUUCCAUGGAAAGUGCAAAACUUCUGUCAAAGAGUUGCUGUAAUUGGAUUAAUCUCAUCGUUGCUGCAAUCUUUUGACAAAUCGAAUCUUAAAUAUGUUACUCUGCAACGCUAUUGUAAAUGUUACUCUUAAAUAUUACUCUGUAACUAGAUUGAUGGCUCAAUCUUGUUUUUAACAUUGUUAUGGGUAUUACUACUUUCAUGCUUUGAUACGCGAUACCCUCUUUCUAGGUGACAUUUUUGCUCCUUCCGGGCCACCAUGGGCUCUCUGCAUCACUCACCAACCUCAUUAGAUUCCCCGGGUGCCAUUUGGCCAUCUCAAGUCUCAAAAUAGCAUCAAAAUGCACUCUAAUAAUUUAUUAAUAUAAAGAACUAAAACAAAAUAAAAACACAACAAAGAUAUCUAAAUUGCACGAAAAUAAGCUUUUAAGUGUGAUGGAGAGUCUAAUUUGACAUAUCAAUUAAUGUUUGACUAUCUCCAUCUCACUUUUUAUUAAUUAAGGAAUAUGAAUUAGAAUUAAUAUAAACUUACUAUUUUAACAUUUCAUAAGCAAAAGCUAAAAUAAUAUUGGUCACAUCCCAUAUCUUCAUAUAUAGCUUAUCAGACAAAAGUUAAAACAGCCUUCAGUUCAUCUACAUUCUACAUUCCACGUCGAAUCUGCAAGCAUCAAAUAUUAACCUUUGAACUCCAAAAUAACAACACCAAUUUCCAGCAAUUGCAGAAGAAUGUCCAAUAAUUCCACACAAAUUAACAACAAUUUGCCAGCAUCCACUACAUUCGUAUGAAUUCCACACAAAUUAAGACUGGAAACUCUAACUUGUUCAUACCCUCAAUGAAGCUACCUAAAAGUUAUGAAUUCCACUGCAAAUUUUGUAUUGCUUGGAAUGAAUUGACUGUAAUUUCCUAUUACUUGCCACAAAAUUUUCUUUUACUGCUAACUUGUAAAAAAAUUAUGAAAAUACAACAGAGAUCAUUGAGACAUUUUGUUCUCCUUUCUCCUUUACUGAGCAGUAGCAAAGAUUAUCGAGACUAAAUUGAAAGUCAUGAAAGAAGACAUAAACAACACCACCAUACAAAAUGUUACACUCAAACAAACCAUUACAGAUAGUACGAAAUGCAAUGAAAGACACAGGAAUUGGUACAACAAUAAAGACAGACACAUACCAAUGCAACCCUUCACCAUAGGCAAAACGGUCUACAGAAUAAGAAAUUAUGAAAAUACAACACUAAUUCUUGAACAUCAUUUCCAGUAAUUAGAUCCUUCUUCGUCUAUUGCUUCGAUUGCCUUUCUUUGACUUUCUUCUUCGCCUCAUCUCUUGUUGGUUUUCAACCAAAUUCACCAACCAUUUCGGCUUACCAAUUUGGAAAACAACAUAUCCCACGGACAUUCCGAACACCACUCUGCAUCCAUAACCUAUCAACACCACUUUCCAACCAAAAGCAAUGUUUGAUUUUGAGCCAUCUUUUUCAAGCGCAUUUGGAGGUGCUGGCUCAAUGAUGUUGCAACCUUUCGAGACCGGAAACCCACACAGUCCAUUAUUCCCUUCAUAUGAAUCAUUUCCAAAUGUGUUGAAUUGUUUUCCUUGAGGAAUCUGACCAUGGAGUUGAUUUUCAGCGACAUUGAAGGACGAAAGAAAUGGCAGAUCUGCCAAUCUAUUUGGAAUCGUCCCAGACAACCUGUUUGAAGAUAGGUCCAACCAUUCAAUACUUGUCAAAUUCCCUAUUGAUGUGGGAUACCACCAUUAAGGUUAUUAUGAGAAAGGUUGAGCCCUUUCAGUAAGUUAAGCUUCCCAAAAACCUUUGGAAUACCCCCUUCAAACUGAUUGUUUGAUAGAUCAAUGAUCAUCCACAUGGUGAAAAUUUUCACCAAUUCCAUAUAUUGUCCUUUCAUAACAGUUCCGAUGGAAUAGGUAUAGAAGCCAUUACCUCUCGGAACAUACAUCCCCAUGUACGACAUUGUACUCCCAAUCUUCUCUAGAUUUAUGAUACCCUUGAAGCUGUUGAUGUAUCUCACUGGUAGGGGUCCAGAAAAAUAAUUACUUGAGAGAAAAAAAAUUUGGAUUUUAGAGAAAAAAGGGCUAGACUUGGAGCUAUUGUCACAUAAGGAACCAUGCAUAUGAUUUGACUUCAAUACAAGAACUUGUAGCUGUGGAAGACUUCCCAACCAAUGAGGAAAUGUAUCAUUGAUCUUGUUCUUCUUCAGAUUCAAGAAUUGAAGGCUGUAGCUCAAAUUUUCAAAACAUUGCGGAAUUGUUCCGCUCAAGUUAUUGUGGGACAAAUCACGAAUUUGAAGAAAAGUGACAUUGCAUAUUAAAGAAGAGACCUCUCCAUUGAAACUAUUAUUUGAGAUCAGAAAGACAUUGAUCGUCGAAGCUGGAAUGGGAAGAUUUCCACGGAUCAAAUUGGAGCUUAAGUCAAGAACUGCAAUAUUCUUCCAUGGAAAGUGCUCAACUUCUGUCAAAGAGUUGUGAGAUACAUUUAAGUCAAAGAGCCAUUGCCCACCUCUUGCAUCCACUGUGGAAUCUUGCCUUCAAUUUUGUUGCAAGAGAGGUCCAAGCUUUCCAAACUUUUAAGCCCUUAUAAAAACUGGGGGAAUUCACUAAGAUUGAAAGAUGACAAACGUAAGUCUAUAAGAUUAGACAAUAUAUGGUUAACACAAGAAGUAGUAUUAAAUGUUAAGGAUAGGCUGUUAUAUGAAAGGUCGAGAAGUUUUAGAGUUGGAAGGUUUGAGAACAUGCGAAACUCUAUGACACCACUAAGAUUAUUUGAGGAUAAAAGGAGGUGGGUAAGAUUGAGAAGUUGGAAUAUUGAAGAUGGAAGAGGACCUUGGAGUUUAUUAUUGUUUAACCUUAUCAAUUCUAGUGUUUUGGAUUGGAAUUCUUUGAUAUGCCCACUGAAUUGUUUUUAGAGAGAUCUAUUGUUUAACCACGUUAUUUUUCAGUGACGGAUCGAGAAAUAAAACUUAGGGGGAGCAGGGGCGAAGUUAGAAAAUUAGUUUGGGGUAAUCGAAAUUAAAUUAUAUAUUUUUAUGAUAGUAAAAAUAGAAUUUCGUCAUUUUAAUAGCCUAUAUCUUUAUAAUUUUUAGAGGAUUAAAUUAAUUUUUUAUCAUUUGAGGGGGGCAAAGUGCAAUUUUACCGUUAUUAAUUUAAAAUUUUAUAAAUUAUAAAUGGCCUAAAUUUUAAAAAAAAAAUCAUUUUAGGGGGUUGAGACCCUGUCAGCCCUCUCCCUAGACCCACCCCUAGUCUUUUUGAUACAAUUUGGCAGUUUAAGUACUUAAUUAGUGCAAAAAAAAAAAAACUAGGGGCUCAAUAGCUUUUUUUUGAAAAAGUUUGAGAGCCUUUUUGAUCCAUUUUGGCAGUUCAAAUGCCCAAUUCAGUGCAAGAAAAGAAGUAGGGGCUUAAUUAUUUUUUUUUAAAAAAAGUUUGAGAGCCUUUUUACACCAUUGAACCUUUUUUAUACUAAUUGGUAGACGCGAAGUUAUAAAUAUUUAAUUGUUAAUGUAAUUUUUAGAAUUUCUAAAGAAUAAUAAUAUUUAAAAUCUUAUAAUUUUUUUUAUUUCAUGUGCAUAAAAAACUUAAAUAAAUAAGUGUUUAGAUUUAGAUUAAUCACGCUGUCCAUUUAUUCAUAUUCAUUCUAGAGGUAUAACUUUUAGUUAUUUUAUAUGUUUUUAUAAUUAAAAAUAAUGGUAUAAAAGUCGAUUAAGUUUUAGCUCAAUUGACAUAGACAUUGUUGUUGAGGAGGACCUAUUGGUAGUUCUAGGCAUUGUGUCAAAAUGAACUAUAUUUGAUAAGAACCUAUAAUGAAAUUAAUGUUAAAAAAAUAAUAGUAUAAAAAGCUAAUAUUUUUAUAAAAGUUUCAUUUUUUUUUCAGUUUUUGGAUUUUUCUCAUAUAAAAUUUUAGAAUUGUUUCUUGAAUUUUUAUAGCUUUUCUUAUUAUGAUGUUAUAUAAUUUUAGAUUUUUAUACAUCUUUAAUAUUUUUUUAGUUUUUUAUUGUUUCUCAAAUAAUGCUUGGUUGAUGUAGCUUGCCAAGUGGUAUCGUGUUAUUGGCUGUCAAUUUCAAUAAUAAAAAAAUUUGGAGUUGAUUAGUUAUGAACUAACUCGAUUAAUCAAUUCUAAAUUUAAGUACUAAUUAAGUCCAAAAAAAGUUCAAAUUUCAAUUCAUGCAAGUUGGAUGGCAAUGAAACGGGAUUGGGGUGCGAAUAUUGUCAAAUUCACUAUUGUUUCAUAGUUGAUGUGUUUUGUCCCAUCACUCACCCCCGCUCCACUAUGGAUGUUUAAUUUUGAAAACCACUCACCCCAUGGAUGUUGGAUGCAUCCAUCCCUGCUUCACGUCGUGCCAUUUCAAUUUAAUUUUUAUUAGUUUUUUUAAAAAUAUUUUCAAUUUUUUUUUAAUUUUAAAAUAUUUUCAAUCUUUUUAAAACUUAUAAAUAUUUAAACAUAAUUAUUCAAGAAAAACAUUUAAACAUAAAACAUAUGAGUUUUUUAUAACAUAUUUUUACCCUUUAAUAGUUAUAAAUAUACAAGGGUCGAAUAGUAAUUUCAAAUAGUGAAAUAGAGUGGAUUGGGACAAACAAUUACCAUAACUGCUACACUUAAUCAUCGUAAAAAAAAAAAAAAAAAAUCUAUUUCAUCCCCGCCCAUAUUCCCUUUUAAAAGGAUCUACUCUAAAUGAAACAAACCAAUUCAAAAUCCAUUUAACAUCCUAAAUUCUAAAACUAAUUUUGAUAUGAAGUCUCAAUUAAAUUCAAGUAAUAAGGUUUUUUGAUAUGGUUUACACUACUAACUUCUAUAUGAAAACAACAACCAUUUCCCAUGAUGUUUGCGGCUUACCAACAAAUCCUUGCAGAUUUUCAACGUAGAAGAAAAUCAUGAAAAUAAAAAAAAAAAAAAAAAAAAAACUCUGGUUGGGAUUUGUUUCAUAUGGAAAACAGAAAACAAAACUUAAGUUAGUCAAAAUUACCAACUCACUGCUGACAACAUUUUUGUUGUAACCAAACAUUUGGAAGAAAAUAAACACAAGAGCACGCCGUUGACCUGUAUUUCUUUUAUUCUUCAAUUCUAUUUCAUCUUUAAGCUGUAACCAAUGAUAAUCAAAUCUUGACUUGCAUAAAAACCAAAGAAAACAAAAUGAAUGCAGCAGAAUUUUCUACCACAAAUGAGUAGUAAUUUACAGAUAAUAAAAUUAUCGAAAAACUAUUGAGAGUCGAAUUUCAUAUUAAUUGUGGUAUCCAUGAACUAGAAUGUAUUAAAAAAAGAAGGAUAUUGACCUUGAGACUACUUGCAAUUUUCAAAAACACUCUCAAUUCCUCUCCCCCUCUUCGGGCACCGGCCCAAGAUCCUGCCAUUGGCUACCACGCCGGCCGCUAGUCGCCAGCGCCGGCGCCGUGCAUGGAGGAGGAGAGUCCAAAAAUAUCCUUUUUUUUUUCUCACAUGCAGAUCCUCGGCCUCCAAACACUCCGACGACGGCUACAAAGGUAAAAAGGCCUCUCAUUUUUUAUUUUUAUAAUGCUUCAAAAUAAAAAAAUAAAAAAAAGGGAAAAAAUCACCUUUAAAAAAAACUGAUUCCUGUUUUUUAUUUCUCUUUGUUUUUUUUUUUCCAAAAGAGAACUCCCUUAAUUUUUCAUCUUUUUUAGCCCUUAAACCUACGUUGUUUAUCAAUAACCUUAAACUUACAUUGUUUACCGGAUGAAAAAUUUAAUAUUUAUUAACUUUGCUAAGGUGCACAUAUGCAAUUUAUUUAAAUCUAAAAACUAUAAAAUAUCUUAAAAUUAAAACUAAAAGUUUUUAAACUACUUGAUUGCUCCUUUCUCCUUUACUGAGCAGUAGCAAAGAUAAUCGAGACUAAAUUGAAAUCCAUGAAAGAAGACAUAAAACACCUCCAUACAAAGUGUCACACUCAAACAAACCAUUACAGAUAGUACGAAAUGCAAUGAAAGACAGAGGAAUUGCUACAAUAACAAAGACAGACACAUACCAAUGCAACCCUUCACCAUAGGCAAAACAAGAAAUUAUGAAAAUACAACACUAGUUCUUGAACAUCAUUUGCAGUAAUUAGAUCCUUCUUCGUCCACUGCUGCGAUUGCCUUUCUUUGACUUUCUUCUUCGCCUCUUCUCAUGUUGGUUUUCAACCAAAUUCACCAACCAUUUCGGCUUUCCAGUUUGGAAAACAACAUAUCCCACCAGCAUUCCGAACACUACUCCGCAUCCAUAACCUAUCAACACCACUUUCCAUUCAAAAGCAAUGUUUGAUUUUGAGCCAUCUUUUUCAAGCACAUUUGGAGGUGCUGGCUCAAUGAUGUUGCAACCUUUCGAGACCGGAAAUCCACAUAGUCCCUUAUUUCCUUCAUAUGAAUCAUUUCCAAAUGUGUUGAAUUGUUUUCCUUGAGGAAUCUGACCAUGGAGUUGAUUUUCAGAAACAUUUAAGGACGAAAGAAAUGACAGAUCUGCCAAUCUAUUUGGAAUCGUCCCAGACAACCUGUUUGAAGAUAGGUCCAACCAUUCAAGACUUGUCAAACUCCCUAUUGAGGAGGGGAUAUCACCAUUAAGGUUAUUAUGAGAAAGGUUGAGCCCUUUCAGUAAGUUAAGCUUCCCAAUAACCUUUGGAAUACCCCCUUCAGACUGAUUGUUUGAUAGAUCAAUGAUCAUCCACAUGGUGAAAAUUUUCACCAAUUCCCUAUCUUGUCCUUUCAUGACAAUUCCAAUGGAAUAGGUAUAGAAGCCACUACCUCGAGAAUCAUUCACCCCCAUGUACGACACCGUACUACCAAUCUUUUCUAGAUUUAUGAUAGCCUUGAAGCUGUUGAUGUAUCUCACUGGUAGGGGUCCAGAAAAAUAAUUACUUGAGAGGUCAAAAAUUUGGAUUUUAGAGAAAAAAGGGCUAGACUUGGAGCUAUUGACACGCAAGGAACCAUGCAUAUGAUUUGACUUCAAAACAAGAACUUGCAAAAAUGGAAGACUUCCCAACCAAUGAGGAAAUGUAUCAUUGAUCUUGUUGUUACCAAGAUCUAGCACUUCCAGACCAUUACAAUUAAGGAUGGAUGGUGUCAAAGGCCCUUCUAACAGAUUUCCAUUUAAGUUGAAAUUAGUCAGUUGGCAUCCCUUUGCAAAUGUUAGAGGAAUCGUCCCAUAGAACUCGUUCUUCUUCAGAUUGAAGACUUGAAGGAUGUUGCUCAGAUUUCCAAAACAUUGCGGAAUUGUUCCACUCAAGUAAUUGUGGGACAAAUCAAGAAUUUGAAGAUAAGUGGCAUUGCAUAUUAAAGAAGAGACCUCUCCAUUGAAACUGUUAUUUGAGAUCAAAAAGACAUUGAUGGUCGAAGCUGGAAUCGGAAGAUUUCCACGGAUCAAAUUGGAGCUUAAGUCAAGAAAUUCAAUAUUCUUCCAUGGAAAGUGCUCAACUUCUGUCAAAGAGUUGUGAGAUACGUUUAAGUAAGUCAAAGAGUCAUUCCCCACCUCUUGCAUCCACUGUGGAAUCUUGCCUUCAAUUUUGUUGCAAGAGAGGUCUAACCUUUCCAAACUUUUAAGCCCUUUUAAAAACUGGGGGAAUUCACUAAGAUUGCAAGAUGACAAAAAUAAGCUUCUAAGAUUAACAGUAGAUGUAGUAUUAGAUGUUAAGUAUAGGCUGUUAAAUGAAAGGUCGAGAUAUUUUAGAUUUGGAAGGUUUGAGAACAUACGUAACUCUAUGACACCACUUAGAUUAUUUGAGGAUAAAACGAGCAAGGUAAGAUUGAGAAGUUGGAAUAUUGAAGAUGGAAAAGGACCUUGGAGUUUAUUAUUGUUUAGAUAUAAAUGUUCUAGUGAUUUGGAUUGGAAUUCUUGGAUAUGCCCACUGAAUUGAUUUUGAGAGAGAAUUAUAACCUUUAAGGAGGGAGCAGUAUACAACCAUGACGGAAGUGUUCCAUUGAGUAAAUUGUCAGAUAAGCCUAAAUAUAUUAGAUUAGGAAAAGUGGUUACCUCAUCUGGAAUGGAUCCUUCUAAAGAAUUUUCAGAUAUUCCCAAGUAUUCCAGCUGGGUUAGGUUUAGAAUUGACAAUGGAAUUUGUCCACUCAAUUGGUUCUGCGACAAGUCUAAAUGAGUGAGUUGCAAGAGGUUCCCCAAUGAUAUUGGAAUUUGUCCACUCAAUUGGUUCUGCCACAAGUUUAAAUCAGUGAGUUGCAAGAGGUUCCCCAAUGAUCUUGGAAUUUGUCCACUCAAUUGGUUCUGCCACAAGUCUAAAUCAGUGAGUUGCAAGAGGUUGCCCAAUGAUCUUGGAAUUUGUCCACUCAAUUGGUUCUGCCACAAGCCUAAAUUAGUGAGUUGCAAGAGGUUCCCCAAUGAUCUUGGAAUUUUUUCACUCAAUUGGUUCUGCCACAAGCCUAAAUGAGUGACUUGCAAGAGGUUCCCCAAUGAUCUUGGAAUUUUUCCACUCAAUUGGUUCUGCCACAAACCUAAAUCAGUGAGUUGCAAGAGAUUCCCCAAUGAUCUUGGAAUAUUUCCACUCAAUUGGUUCUGCCACAAGCCUAAAUGAGUGAGUUGCAAGAGGUUCCCCAAUGAUCUGCCACAAGCCUAAAUGAGUGAGUUGCAAGAGUUUCCCCAAUGAUCUUGGAAUUUGUCCACUCAAUUGGUUCUCACACAAGUCUAAAUAAGUGAGUUGCAAGAGGUUCUCCAAUGAUCUUGGAAUUUGUCCACUCAAUAGGUUCUGUGACAAGUCUAAAUAAGCGAGUUGCAAGAGGUUCCCCAGUGAUCUUGGACCCGGUCCUGAUAAGUUGGAAUGGGAGAGAUCUAAAACCUUCAAGGACACAAGAUUCCCCAUCCAGUCAGGCAAUCCUCCAAAAAAAUUUGCGCCUCCAAGAAUCAACUACUCCAAAGAUGAUAAAUUUGUGAAUGAGACAGACAAUCCUUGAAAGAAGGAAUUUCCUGAGAGAUCUAAGUACUUUAAGGCCUGUAGAUUAUCAACUGAAUCAAUGAAUUCUGUAGAGAAGGACACGAACGACAGAUCCAAAUGUUCAAGAUUGCUGCUCCGAUUGAACUUCAAAGGAUCAAGAUUGAGGUUUUGGUUGCCUCCCAAGUUGAGGAGAUUGAGGUUUGGCAAAUCAAAAAUGUUUUUUGGGAAUUUUCCUUGCAAAUCACAAAAAGCAAGACUGAGAGACCUUAGAGAAGAGGAUAGAUUCAUGAAGACAUGAGCAUUAACAGAAGACAUGUCCAUUCCAUCCAAAAACAGAUGUCUGACCUCGGUUAGGUUGUGAACAAGUCCCUCCAGAGCAUGUUUGUCAAUUGUUUGUGCAUCACCCCAACAGGAGAGAUCAAGUGAAACCAAUUUUGACAGGUGGGAGACUUGGGAUGGGACUUCUCCUGCAAACCCU